rnacentral:lncRNA from 1 species
CAGUAACAGCCAUCUAAUGCACAAUCCACGGUUAUCCGUUUCUUGAUAAUUGAUAUGGAACUAAUCAAUAAAAUGUUCAAGUAUUAGAUCCUCCAAAAUAGGCUGAUAAAACUUAAAAACAAAGCUGGAGAUUAGCUAGCAAAAGUUACUGUAAAUCUAAAAACCAUUUGCAAGCCUGCUCAGAGACAUGAACAAUUUUGUUUUCUUUUUUUCAUGCAGUACAAACAUAAAUGCAAAAUAAAAUUGGUAGUAACAACUGAUCGACAGAGACAUGGAAGAAAACCUUAGAACGUGGUAUAAAUAACAGAGACAUCGUAGAACUCGAGAGGAUCCCUUCUCUCAAGACCAAAUCCUCGGUUUCAUCCGGGCGCAAAACGAUCCAUCAGCAUGCACACGGUGGCGUCCGAGAGGAUCACUUCCCUCCUCUCCUUAGCUUCAGUUCCAUGCUGCUUUGCUAAAACAAGCUCUUCUUGUGGUUCGCCAUGUUCUCGCGCACAUCGACGACCGCCCGAUUCAACAUUACCACUAGACUCGACAUCUCCCUAUUCCUCUCUCUCGCUCUCUCUCCCUCUGAGUUGGCCUGUUUUAAUGCUUUCUUUGUGAAGAAUGCAAUGGAGGCUUCCCACUUGGGUGUAAGCUCGUUUUUGUACAAGCACUGUAUUAGUGGGAUAGAAGGAAACCGUAGGUUCGAGGAACCUGGGGAGUCGACAGUUUGGACCUGGAAGGCAAGGUAGUUGGUUGGCUAGAUUUUGUUUUGAGCGAGAUGGGUGGGUCCGGAUGGAACAGCGUCCUCUCGUUUGCUUCUGUCGUGAGCGACGAGAGACCACGCAACCCGAAGGCCUAGCGGGAGACGGCGGGAUUGCUUAGGAAUAUUCCGAGCCAGGAUUUUAGGCCAAACCCUUACCCGAGAUCUCUAUAUGAAUUCUAAACCAAAUCAACCAAAUCUUAGGGCUUAUGUUGUUUCCUCAUAGGCCCAGUUGCAGGAAUUCCGCAUAUGUGGGCUGUUUGGAUUGCUAGCCCACUUGCUGGGUUGAGCCCAAAGUCCAUGAAGUCUCUGAAAAGCCCAAAGUUCCAAUCUGCCAGGUUGAAUUCCUCAACCAUUCCCUCCUCCUCCCUGUUUUCCUUUUGAUUUUUAUAGAUUUUCUUCUUAGCCUUCUUCAAAGCUUUGCUUUCCAACCCUAACCCUAACCCUAACCUAAAGUGGAUCUCGAUGUCUCUAAUCCCGAUCCACCCCCUUCUUCCCUUCUACAUAUGUUCAGCACCACUUUAAUACUUGCAUUUUAUGCAUUGCCUUCUGUAUCGGAUUUUCAUGUGGUAAGGGUUUGGUAGGAGUGGAGUUCAAAAAUAUGGUAGUUUUGGAAGAUUAUCAAGAAAGCACCUGAUGGUAUCUCACUGUAAUGAUUAGAAUUUAGGUUGAUUUUGGCCUCUUAAAAUAGUUUUUAAAUUUUUAUUUGUCUAAUGUGUUCUAAAGAUUAUCCCCCCCCCCNNNNNNNNNNUUUUUUUGCAUUGCAAAACAUCUUUCAUUUAGCAAGCAAGUAGUGCUUAAACAAAUACAAGCUUGAAAAGAUGAGCUGAAAUGGUCCAACCAUGUGUAAGAUAUGGUAAAUUUGAGUUUAAAAAGUUAUCUAAGUUUGAAAAAGAUCCCAUAGGCUGUUUGGUUGGCACGUCUAUAAAAAAUGAGCUCAUAUCAGAUUUAAAAUCACUGAGUUUUAUAACAACUUUCUUCUAAUUGCUUUCCACUAAAAUUUUGCUAGAAAAUAAACCUGAAAAACAAGUUUUGUGAUAAAAUUGUUGUAUUUCUUCCUUAUUAUAAUUAACUUGACAAGGUGAGUAUCGUAGAGCUCUUAUACUACUUUGAACUAGUAGACAAGCAACUUGUUUGACACACAAAUUCUGCUCCAAACAUACCUAUGAAACCUUGUCCCCAUUACUAGCUAGCUUUCUAAGUCCUUAUUUGCUAAAUAAUUUCCAUGAAGGUUUACCAACAGUACUAUUGCAAGCUUUUUCAACUGAAGUGGAAUGAAUGCAGACAACUUAUAUCAUCUACUUAUGCCAUAUACCGUAAUCAUGUUUUAAACAUAAGUGAUACAUUUAUUUAUGAUUAAUGUAAGGAUAUGGACAUAUGCAAUCUUGAUGGCUCAUAACCAAGUAGGCAACCAUUGCAGAUUUAUAAGAAGCUUUAUAUAUCUGCAUAUCGAUAGAAAGCCACAAGAAAAGCAACUGUGCAAACUCUAGAUAUGGCACUUGUUAAGAAAGAAAUUUGUAGCCACAAGGUUUGUUUUUCAUUAGCUAUGAUAAUAUGCUUAUAUACGCUAUAAAAGGGAUCGGUAUCUCUACAUCAAAGUGAUCAAUAUCUUUACAUCAAAGAAAUUAUAUGGUCCGUAUAAAGAAAAUCUCUACAAAUAUGUACAUAGUUGGCAAAAUCGAGGAAUGAUUUCCAUCACUUGAGAUUAUAUAGCUCGUCGUAUCUGCCAAAUCCAAUUGCAUGGUUGGCUGAGAAAAUCAAGAAAUGAUUUUCAUCCGUGGGAUUGUAUAGCUGCCCAUAUUUGUCUAAUCUAAUGCCAAGAGAAGUAAUUAUGAUUACCAUCAAAUCAAGUAAUGAUUUCCAUCAACACUUUUGAGCCACUUUUGAAAGGCAUUAUAGUUUGGCUAGUGCAAAUUGGAACGGUCUCACUUACGUGCGAACUUAUAGUUUGGUUUAUAUGUUUGGCAUGGUCUAGAUAAUGUGAUUCUGCAUGGUUUGUCUUGGUUUGGAUUUUGAAAAUAAUAUGGCCUAUGCGGUUUGGUUUUGCUUGAUACCUAUGAUUUUUCUGAGGAUAUUGCCUGUACGAGACUGAAUGGUACGAUCCUACUUUAAAAUAGUGAUGCACUUAUCUGCAAGAUCUUAUAUGAUUAGUAUCUUUUCGUUGGAUGUUUUCAAACAGGUUUAGGAAAGCAGAUAUUGAUACAGGUACAGGCAAACUGUGGGUACCAUAACAAUGGACAGCCACAAGGGUUAGCACAUUAUGAGGGGAUCCAGGUUGAUUACUAAAUAAUGGGCAUUUAUCUCUAUAAUCUUCUUCCAGGUUGAUACUUAAUUUCUGUAUAAUCUUAUUAUAAUAUCAUGUUGCCUUUUUUUUUCCUGUAGCUUUGCAGUUCAGCAUGCUGGAUUUUAUAUCUGUAUGAUUGUCUGUGCGUGCUGUUUCUUAGGCUUCUGAUAGAGCAAGUGAUUAUUCAGUAUGUGAGAUUUUUAUUUCUUUUCUAAACAGGAAUUUGGCUAUCAAAUUUUUUUUUUUUAAGCUUUGAGAAUGAGGGGAUCCAACAAGCUUACCUUAUUAUUAGAGAAAGAGGAAAGAAUAGAAGAUAAUCUGUAAGACAACUCUAAUUUUUAACUGUAAAGCUAUAUAUUCUGCAAAAAUAUUUGAUUGUCCAUAAAAUUAUUCAAUUCUUGUGGUAGCAAUUUUAUAUUUUUUAAUAUGUAUAUAUAUGUUAAAGAAUAUAUAUAUAUUAUAUAUAUUAAUGAUAAUUUACAAUUAUAAACUUUGAUUAUAAAAAAUCUAAUUAUUUCUUAAGAAAUGGCCUUAUUUUUUCUUCUUAUUUAUCAUGUAUGAUUCGAUCAUUACAUACAGUAGCCAAGUCUGAAAUUAGUAUGUCUUUUUAUCUUUAAACUUUUGAUGCAGGAUCGAUGCUCAACUUGUGUCUGUCUUAACCUCAAAACAUAUAAAAUAUGGUUAAUUUUAUUGUGAAACAAGGUAUUAUUACAAAAAUUGAUAAAUAUAACCAACUAUCAUUAAGAAUUUCAUCUUUGCUCUAGUUUUUGUUGUUUUUGAUAUUGAGACAGUCCUUCCUUAUCGAUAGGCAAUGAGUUUUGGAUUUGAAUUGAUGUCGUUUCAUUGAUUCUUUCUAAAAAUUUUAUUUUAAUUAGAAUUUAGUUAUUCAUAAUGCAUGAUGAUCCCUUUUUAAGACUAAAUGGUUAAAACGCCCAACUCAUAAUUGGCACUUAAUGACUACCCUAUAAACUAAAAAAAAGAAAGGUCACACAAAUUGAUGUGAGAUGCCACAUUUCGAAGACUUUCUCUCUUCAACUGUUCCAGAGGAACGGUCUCGACAUUCGUUUCUGGGAGGAUGGUUAGAUUGAUUCUAUCAUCUCUCCAUUCUCUUUUUGCAAGCUUAUACGACAGGGCAAUGAAACAUAAUACCUCUGGGAGGAUGGUUUGAUUGAUUCAUAUCGGAUGGAGGCUCUGCAUGAGAUUGUUGCUCUGGUAAGAUUCUCACUGCUCGCCAAUGUUCCACUAUGGAAGUUAAUUCCCAAUGGCAUUUAUUCCGUUGAAUCUUAUUAUUCAUUCUUGAACAAUGGAGGCCUCGUUUUUUGUGGCUUGCAUUAAAAAACAAACUUCACACUGGGGAAGUUUUAGCCAAGAAACGUUGGAAUAUUUUUUUAGUACACCGGCUCCUCACACAGAACGCAUAUGAGUGCAGCCAAAACAAUUAAUGCCAGGGGUGCUGCUUAUGUGGUAAUAGCUCUGAAUCAGUUAAUCACUUGUUCAUAAGGUGCCCAUUUACAAAAAGCAUCUGGUCCACUAUCAAAAUGCAAUUGAAAUUGAGGGACUGGCCGGCAACUCUUCAUGAUCUAUGAACCCAAUGAAGAGCCAAAAAAUCGUCAACUAUUGAUCAGAAGAGCAGAUGAUCAGCUUCUUGCAGUCAUUUGUUAGAAAAUUCGGCAAGAACGAAAUGCGAGGAUCUUUCUCAGAAUGAAUCAUUCCAUUCAUGCAACACUUCAAAAGGCACUAAACACAUAGCAUAAUUGGGAGUGUCUCUUGCAUCCAAAAAAAUAAAGGAGAAGCAUCAGCAACUUUGGAGGAGUCUUGGCAACCAUCUAUGCAACUGAUUUCUUAUUCUCUCUCUCUUCUCCCCUGUAAAUUCUGCUCCUCCUUCAGUUUGUAAAUAUCUUUUCUGAUCUAAUAACAUCUGGGGGAAGCUGCCGGCUACCUCCAUUCACAUCACGACAACAACAAAGUAAAAAAACCACUACUGUUCCUGAGUGCAAGAGCUAUUGCUCAGCCAUAUAUCACCAGAGACAUGUAACGGAUUUUAGCUAUCUCAUCAUGAUUUCUCGUUCUUUAGGAUAAGAAAGUUGCUGAUUCAUGCAUCAAUAAUUCUCUGGAAAGAUGCAAAAAGCUAUUGUUUCGGACAAUCCUACACCACCAGUCUUCUGGUGUAAGUGCUUGUCCCAUCAAGUUGGACGGUAAGAUGUAAAGGAAAUCUAUGUGAGCCCGGAAAGUAGAUGCUUGCGUCCAAAUAUAUUGUUCCAUGCGAGAAAAAAAGAGUUAAGUGUACUGGUUUGUGUCCUUUUUUCGCCUGUCCUCGCCAAUUUGUUUUGAGUUGUUGUUGUAUCUACGACCGUGAACAAAGAUGGCUGUAAUGGUGGGAUGCUAUGAUCGACCUGGGAAAACAUGGCCAAGCCACUGAAAGACUUUAGCUAAAAGCUUGGAAGGACAAGGGAUCUAUAGGCUGCAUGGUGACGCGAGACCGGGGAGCGUAGUGUGUUGGUGUAUAUGAGCCCGUCAAUUGAUCAUUUACCAUUCUUAUAUAACCACCGUCAAUUGAUUAUUUACUAUUUUUGUAUGACCACCGUCAAUUAUAAAUAGGUGAGCUCUCUUAUACUUAUUGGAAUACACAGAAAUAUUCUCAAAAUUCUUCUCUCCUUUCUCUACUACGUUUUUAACAUGGUGGACUCCCAUCCACUCAGUUGAGACAAGAUCGACGUGACCCUUCACAAGGAGAAAUUAUAUCCUACACAGUGCACUCAGUUGCCGAUUACAGCUGCUCUUUUCUAUAAACUCCAUUCAUCAAGCGCUUAUCUAGAUAUGCUACUAUAAAAAUAAACAGCUAUAAUUGGAGGCAUGCACGGCCGCAUAGUGCAUGCCCUAUAGGAUAUAAUUUUUCUUUAAAAAGUGACGAAAAUUGCCAACUUUUAGUUGGAGAAAUUAUACCCUAAACCAGCAUAUAUGCACCAUACGGCCAAGCGUAAUGCUAAUUCCCUCAUCUUAUUUUUAUGGACCCCAUUCAUCAUCGACUCAUCAUGAUGAUUGGCCCACAGGAACGAGAUAGGGUUAUUAGCAUGGUGCAUGGCUACAUUGGUGCACACGGUGCAAGAUAUAAUCUUUCGAUUGGUUUUGCACAAAAUAUGUGUAGAUAUGAAGCAAUACGUAUGAGUUGAAAUUCUAAUUUUAUCUCCAGAUGUGUUGACCAACGUAACUAUAAUUUUUUGCCAUUAUUUCAAUGAAACAUAUGCGUGUUUUACUAUAUUUUCAAUUGUUGAGAGUGAAGAAUUCUUGCAGAAACUAUUCAAGCGUUCAAAUUUCCAUCACCAUAAUCAUCUUUGACAUGAAAAAUAAUUGAUGUAAAGAGCAACAUGUAAGCGGAGCAAAUUUUGUGAUGGAUGUGCUGAACACUCCAAUUAAUUGUGUUUUCCCUGUGCGACAGCGAUAUGCCAAGCACCUCAUGAGUUCAAGAUUGCAUAUUAAUUUGGAGGUAAAUCUUUGAACAGAUGCAAAAUAAAAUAUUUACUUAAGUGGAAAUGAAUUGAGUAUGAUGAUAAAAAAUCUUGCUUGCACCCGUGUCAUGAAGUAGGGCACGAAGGGUAUUUACAUUGCUAUGUGAAAGGGUGUAACAUCCAUUAUAGGUGUCAACAUUAUUAAUUACUUCUCCACGCAUCAAAAUUCCAAAAGGAUAUAUAUAUAGACGGUCCAAAGGCCUUCAAAAAAGUCCUCUAAUAUAUAGUACUCUAAUAUCACUCUCUUCAAUUAAGGAUCCUUCAUCUAUAUUGAUGUAGAGAAAUAAUGGCCAUAAUGUAUAUGCCAUGAAGAUGGCAUCACAUAGUAGGGAAUAAGGGAUGGUGAAUUCAAGAGGCUUUUCCUUUUCAGAUGCUGCAUUAAUAGCUCAAUUCCCUGUUAUUUUUAUCAUAUACAUUGUUAUAUGAGGUUAAUGAUUUAUCAUUUUCGUAUUUCUAAAUUUUUAAAUUUUUAUUUUUUUCAAUAUAUAUAGGUUUCCAAUUAAUACUUCUAGUAGUACUAGUAUAACAACUCAGGAUCUCAUCCAAAAAAACUUGUCGAAAGAUAUUAUUUGGGUUACUUAAUCAUAUAUAAGCACCUAAUAUCUACUCAGCGAAUAAUCGAUGUGGGAUUAAACACACGUCUGUAGUCCUCGUCAGGCUAAGAGUUCAAAUCCAUUUAAAUCUAAUCGCAAGUAUCACAAUAGACUCAUGGUCAGCCUCAAUAAAUUUGUAUUGCAGUGUUUCCUAGUCCACAUAGGUUAUGGGUCGGAUCUGCUCUGAUACCAUUUGUAACAGUCCACAAUCUCACCCAAAAAGACUAGCCGGAAGGUAUUAUUUGAAUUCAUUAUUCAUGUAUAAGUAUCCAAGAUCUACCGAGCGAAUAACCGAUGUGGAACUAAACAUACGUCCGUACGGAUCCUCAUAGCUAGAGAUAAUGAUCAUGUUGAUGAUAGCACCGACUAUUUUUUGAAGUUCAAGUAUCAUGCACAUAUUUAUGUUUUUGGAGUUUUUAAAAUUUUGGUGGAUAUUUAUAUUUGAUAUUAUGUACAUAUAAACCAUGCCGUUAUUGUUAUAUACGUUUUCCUAUAAGUUUAGUAUAUACAUAUUAUAUAUAAUAUGGCGAUGUUUUAAAGCGUAAAAAGUUAGACAAACUAAUGAUGCUUUCUUCCAUCAUCAUUUCAACCGCAGCGUAAAAGGCUUUUGGAAGCUUUCAGAAAGCGUCGUGAGCCCGCAACGCACCAAAAUAUUGUUCUUCAUGCUGUGCGGCAGCUUACAAAGCUUGUAUACCUUGCGUUGCUGUCGGCGGAGAAGAAGAUGAUGAGAUUUUCCAUGCUUGCAUUGCCGACAUCCAUACGAUGCUUUGGGAAACGUUGGCACGGAAAUUUGUAACGCACCUUCAUGCCGGCAAAAUGAUUUGCAAAACAUCACCUUUGACCCCUUUUCCUACUGUAGUGCACUGAAGACGGAACGGUAUCCCAUGGCAGGGAAAAGGAACAGUGACUUUAGGUGCUUUCUUCUUCUCUGGCUCUGCAUCAAUGGCUCAAUCCCCUGUCAACUGACCGUCCUAUGAUGCGAGCUUGAUUGGCCCACACACUAUUAGCCCGCAUGAGUCCACAAGGGCCAAUGCACAGGCUUGCUUGUAUCACCAUGGGUGAUUUCCAUGACCAUGGAAAACCUGUGCUUCUACCACUUGCAAGCGUCUUUAAUUUGGAAUUGUACUAUAACAACUGCUACAAAUUCCAUUUGUCGAUCUAAUACGAUAGUUAGGAAUGAAUGCAAUGCAUAGGGAUAGAUGGUAUCAGGUACAGUUCAGUCAUUCUUCCAGUGCCACAUUAAUAUUUAAUUGGAUUGCACCAAUAUCCACUUGCCGCAUCAGUUUGAGAACAAAUUUGAUAUAGUUUUUGGAGGUGCGUACAGCAACCCACCCAGCCAAAAAUUCUGGUACUGUCCUUCUGUCAAAACCUAUAGUAGAGCAGAGGGGCAUGGACCAGCCUGAGGAGCGUUCACGCCUGGAUCCUUUUCGGCGAGCUUGGCGUUGUAAGUUUUCAGCAUGCAGUGAUGAUGGUAAGAACUCCAUCAAAUCAAGUUGAAACUUUAAAGAAGGUGGAUGGCCAGUAGGUGACAGAUUGGUUAGAGACCCCAGUGACUGAUACCAACAUCAUCAUCACCAUGAAUGGCAGAGACUGCCACCCACCCCAGAAGCCAGUCUGAAUCUAUUCAUGAGGUAAUGGCGUAAAGGAUUUUUUUCCCCUUUUUUCCCCCUUGAGGACAAAAGAUAAUGUGGCAUAAAUUAAGGUAAUGUCAAUAUCUUUUUUUCAAAAAGAUAAUGACUUUUUCUCUCUUUUUUUUGGUGCGGGUACAGAAGCAGUUGGUCCCAACAACUACAGUCUAUAUAUGCAACCAAAAAAAAAAAAACAAGUGAAUCAAAGUGAAUAACUCGGACAAAUCCAGUGGGAAUCUAGACUCCCGUAUGAGAAUAUUUGUUGUACAUGUUUCAAAAUUGGCAGUCCAGUAGACUGCCAUAUCUUUUCAUGUAGAUGAUGUAAUACAUGGACCUCCUGAUAUUGUCCAAGGAAGCCUUAAUGUGUUGAAGACUGACCAUAUAUUCUUUCAUGAAGAGUAAACUAUACAUGCCCAAUUUGAUCACCAAAGAGAGAGAGAGAGAGAGAGAAGAAAGAAACAUGCCAAAGAAUCUUGAUCAGCAAAAAAGUGUAAUUCAACACCAUCUGCAUUUUCACAAACACAUUCAGCAACAAGCACUAUUUUUAGUAGUUAAUAAUUUAGUGUUUAUGAAAAUGGAAAUUGUUUUUUUUUUCUUGUUUGGUAAUAUAUAUGCAAAUGUUCUUGAAUCGCACUUCUUUUUUUUUUGUUGAUAAACAAGGUUCUUCAAACAAUCUCAUAAGUAUAACAUCUACUACUAGAUUCCGGCUGGUUUUUAAAUCCUCGUUCACCAAUAAUGCCUGUUGAGGGCUAACUUAUCAAAUUAGGAUUCAUUUCAUAGUUUGAUGUGCUUUUUUUCAACUAGUUGAACUAAUUCAGGCAUUACAUGGAGAAUGCCACCAUACCAAAAAAUAAAUAAUGAACAAAUAAAGGCCAUCCUCGUCUGCUGAACCUGAGUUAUAUGAGAUAAUUAGCAAGGUAACUUUGUAGCAUUAUCACAUGCAUGGUCACUUGCGCACCCAAAAAAAAACAAAAAAGGCACUGUGUAGCGCAUGCUGAAGGCUGUCGACCUUGGGGUUUUCUGAAGUAAUGAUGUGCUUAGAUCUUUGGCUGAUUAAACUCUAUGAUUUCAAGUUAGCUCAGAACCAAGCUUAUUGUGUAAUUCGAGUGGGAAAUCCAAACAUGAAAAGCCCAUGAUCAAUAGGGUGCUAUUCUUUUGAACUUACAGUCCAUUUUCCGAAUCAGACAGUAUAAUAUAUGCAGGUUAAUUGAGAGUUGAUGGGAUGAUUUUCUUGUUCCAAAGCAAAACUUACAACAAACCACACUUCUCCCUCAAGUUUAGAAGGAUUUGAUUUUUUUUUUGGUCUUUUCAAACUUCACAAACGCUUAUGAAGGGUCAGUUCCUUCGAUGAUUCGACACAUUCAAUUUGCCAACUUUGUCUUCCUAAGGUGAUUUCUAGGUUCGGUAGCUUAUGGAACAUGUUGGCAUCAGUCUGCAGAGAUGGCGAAAAGCUUGUCCUCAGGUUUGUUCCCCCUUGGCCUCCCCUUGGAGAUAGAUGGAGGGCUUCUCCUACCUCCACCACUGCCUAUUCAAACAGCACAAAAGAAAAAAAGGAAAAUACGAUCAGUCUAAUGCAUAACGUAAUUAAAACAGAAUGAAAUGAUGGAUAAUAAGGGAUUGAUCCAGUAAGUGCAUCAAGCAAUGUGGAUUUAAUUUCUAUGAAUUGUUAUGCUAAUGAAGUUUUCAAUGAAGCUUAUGAUCGAAUUUUGUUCAAAUUGCAUUUACACAUAAUCCAUUUUAUAUUUAGAACAAAAAAAAUUCAUGCAAGGAUACAUAAUUUAUAUGUGUGAAUUUUUUUGACAUUUAUUUUUUAGUUGCUGCAAAAUGUUUGGUCUCUCCUUCCUGGAGGGUUAUUGUUUCUUGUUUACAUUUCGUAAAUAGAAACAGGAAGAAAAAAAGUACAUAAUUCAUUAAUUUAUGUGCGUCCCAUCCAAGUCAGAACAGUAAUAUUGAAUUUAUUCUGGGGUUGAGGACCAGGCAUUUACUGUUGCAGAAUGACAUUACCAAAAGUUGGGUCCCCAUGUUAUAUUGCACACAUGAGAAUAAAAAUUUCUAUAGACCGCAGGCAACAUGCACAGGGAAAUGAGACACUUGAAUGUUAUAUCUUUCAUGAGCAAACUAGAUCAAGAUGUCCUUGAGGGACAAAGUUGAUACCUGCACAGAAAUUAACUUCUGUGCGUACUCCCUGGUGAUAGCAUUAUCCAAGUGAUUGAAAAAUUAUUGGAGCCAAUUUCUCUCGACUAAACAAAAGGUAGCACCUAAAAUUGAAAAAUGGAAAAUUUUAUGGUAGACAUAUACCUGAUUUUCUUUGUUUAAAAAAUUAUCACAUUUGAGGUAGCAGUGUGACAUCUCAUUUUGCUGCAUCGCUGCAUUCCAAGUGUUCUCCUCCGUGGAUGCAUAUGGUCCUCUGGAAAUAAAACGGAGCUUGGUGUUAGCUAGGGAGUUAAGACUAGAAAAGUUUUCUUUCAGAGGCUCUUAUAGAUUACAGAUGCAUGUGGUGCUCAAUGCUCAUAGCCUGUGGAGUGUGGACUAAAACAAGUUGUUGCAUCUGAGUAUAUCCAAUAGAUUAAUAAGAUAGAAUUAAAAGGGUUAGGAAAUUCACAAAGACAAAAAUAGGGAGGGAUCAUCAGUCUAAAGAGACAUCAAUGACUGCAGUGUGUGUGCAUAUUCUGGGUAUUGCUUAAGCUUGAAGACAUUAGGGACAGUUUCAUUUUGUAUGUUCCCUGUCUUCUCUGAAUGUUUGCAGUUGAUAGCCAUCAUGGUGCAAUCCAAAUGGGACACGGACAAACUGCCAACCCAUCGACAACUUUUUAAUGAGAAUUAAAUCCCUCCAGCCAUCAUUAUUCCUGUUGGGCUUCUCGGAUAAGUUAAAAUUAUGUUCAUGUCCUUCAUGUCCUAGGUUCUAUCUUCAUUUGGCCCAGGAGCACAAAUAUAAAGCGUAACAUGAAUUUUUAACGUUCUGGUCACAAUACAUGCACAGAGAGAAAAAGAGUUCUCCAUGCACUGGAACCGUAUUCUACAACCACUAGUGCAGCAGAAAUACCAAUGGCUAAUACAUAUUGCUAACAGCUCCACAUUGAGAGCAACAAUAUUUUGGCAAAGAAGAAUAUAUUCCAGUUUAAUCUUCGAAGGUUUCAGAACAGAAAUUACACUUUUUAUUCAGCUGAUAUAUAAAGUAAUAUGAUAUACGGACAACGAGCAUGUUUGUUUCUCCAAUAAUAUGACUUACUUAUUAUCCCAUGCUACUAUUUAUACUUGUUUUCUUGACUCAAACAAAUAAAAAGCAGUAUAAAAUCAUAGAAUAUGUCAUAUAUGAACGCUAAUAAAAUUAACGACCAUGAAGACUCCCAUUCAACUUUUCUUUCUAGAAUAAUAAGCAUAAGAAUCUAAAUUGUAUCUCAUUAAGAACAAAUAUUAACUUUUAAUGAAGACCCCGAGACCAUUCCAUGAUCUUGAUGGUAAGUGAUAACCUGCAGAUUUAGAUGUUUAAUUUGCGGCAUUUUGGUAUAUGUAAAUCCUCGUAGCAUAGUAAGAGAAGAAUCCUGUUUUGCCUCCUCUAAAUCUUCUGGAAACUUCUUGAAAAACAUUUUACCCUCCAUUUGUAAGGUGAUCCCUUCACUCUCAUGGAACAUGCUAUGUGUGAGAAUAUUUUCUUAAUAACAGAUAUCUCACUUUUUUCUUAAGAUAUUAAAAAAAAAACUCUUGAUGUUUGUAGACUGACUUAGAUCAUAUUUAUAUUCCAAGACAUUAAAUAGCAAGCAGUUAGCAGAUGAUGAAGAACAUGUAAUCCUUUUAUUCCUUCAACCAUAUUCUCUGCCUAAGGUUAUGACAAAGCUGGAUUACCAGUCAAAUCUCACAACAGGAAUUAACUAUGUUGGUCAAAUUUCUCAAAAUAAUCUUAAAUACCUCUCACAAAGCAGUUCCCUUUCAGAACCAUUUGUGAGAGUGACAGAUACCAUUCUUAAUAAACAUCUAUAAAUAUUUAAAAGCGAUCUCUACGGCUGCAAGACUAAACACCAGAUGGAGAUCAAAUAAAGAAACACAUGCAACCCUUCUCUUAUCUUAUUUAACCAUCCCAAUCUCAAUAUAUUGGCCACCUGGGCCCCUAGUCUAUAUAUCUGACCAAAGCCAUUAACAGUGGAAGUCAAAUUCCAGAACUUGCAAUUAUUAAAUGGUCUCUACCCCAGGCCAACUGAUAGAACCAACCAAAUACAACCAAAAACCUAGAUAAAUAAUCUAAAACUCACAUCCACACUGCGUUCAUCAGCGCCGGUGCUUAAAAAAAAAAGACUAUCUUAACGUAUAGCCACCACCAUGCUAACUAAACUAAUUAACCAAAAUAUUCCAUAGAAAUGGCAUAUGGAUUGAGCAUUCCCACAUGGAAGACCGCAUGUAUGAAUGCUGAUCGAAUGGCUGUGAUUCGAUGCCUCAUGUGGUGACUAUUGGUGCCUGCCCAGCCCAUGUUGUACCAUUUUCUUUUUUUUCUUUGUUAACUUUUAUGAAUUUCUUUUGAUAGAGGUUGUUGUAGGGGAGAAGGAGAGGAAGUGGACAGACCUAGGGGAUUUGGGUAGUGGCGUUGGUGGGGUUGGUGCACUGAGGGAAUAGAAAGGGCUGAUCCCAGCUCUGUCGCAUGAUAGUCCUCCCUCCACUUCCCCCAUUCCUCCUGUCCUCUGGUUCAUGCCCAUGUCUGUCUGGCCUCGGCCUGCAAACAAUUCAUCCACCACUAAGAUCCAAAUGGCCGUGCUUUAUGGGACAACAAACUAAUAAUUCAAGCAAGGAAAGGCCAGCCCAAUCCCAGCUUCUGAUGGCAGUGAGGUGACUGGGUGAUGGCAUCUGCCCUCCUUAGACUACCAAAGAACAAAUGGCAUGUAAAGGGACUAUUUGAGGGAGGGAAAAUCCAAAUACCUGCCCCUCUGUCGGUGCUCUUCACUGUUCUAUACAUCUGCAACAACACCCGCAGGAAAGUCAUUAAACAUAAUAAAGCAAAGAAAGAAAAGGAUCGAAGAGAAAAAUCCACUAUGCUCAGAUUACUCCAUAGAUGCCAUGAUGUCCUUAGUACUUGUAUGCUGCAGCACCCCAUCACAAAACCCUAACCCUAGCUAGCUAGCAGGAAAGUGCUCAUAAUAACAACAGCGGCAGCAACAAUGGAGAAAAGCAUCACGCACAAUUUUGGUUACUUCUUAUCUCAGAAAAGAGGUCCCUUUUCCUUUCUCUUCCUACCUGAAGGUGGCUUUUCACAUGAGCCAGUGUUAAAUCCUUCACAUUCAUCAGCUCCAAAACCGACUUUGGCGUGGCCCCUACCCACAUGGAUUUAUAGAAUUAUCUCAGUGUGAGAAGCAAUCAUGAUGAGAAAAUCGUAGUUAUAUAACACUUAGAACGUCUAAUGAUACAAAGACAGGAAGGUACGAGGAAGCUUCUAAGGGAGAGACAUGCUUACUCUCAUGACCACCAAGGAGCUCGACGGCGUGCACAAAAUGGGAGUGGAGGGUGCUGGUCCACCUCAUCCUUGGAGCCCUAAUGCUUCUCUUUCCUCCAUGAAGUUUCCGCUUGAAUCCGUAGAUCUGAGGAUGGUGGGAGUGAUGGUGGUGGUGGUGGUGAAGGUUGUGGUAGAGUUGGUGGUGCAGCGGAUCCGACGCAGCCGUCUUGAACCCAAGGCUCAGCGUUGGCUCGCCAUGGCCAGGAUCCUGGACCCCCUCUGAGUGCAAGAAACCUUGGUCAUGACUCAUAUCGCUCCCGCUGCUCCCGGAGUCUGACAUCGAAUUAUAGUCCCAGAAGAAAGCCCUCCUCAUGGAUUCAUUAAUGGAUAUCGCCGGCGGGCUGAUCUGGAGGGAAAGAUCGGGGAAGGCCGUGAAGCCGGAGGCCGUUGAUGUGGUUCCUGUUGUCAUUUAUCUAAGCUCAAGGAAAAAGCAAACAAAUGGGGGAGGCCAAGGUAAAGUCCGUGCAAGAAGGUAUCCGAGAGAAUGGAGGUUUGGUGAAGGGGGUAUGGCAAAAGUAGAAGGGUUGGGAGAGCAGGAAAAAGGAAAGGAAAUAGUGGAGUGAAACAGUGAGAGAAAGAGAAAGGUGGUGGGAAAGGAAGGGAACUCAUGAAAAGGAAAGCGGGUGGGGGAUUGGGUAAAUAGAUGUGUUAGUGAUUAGAUCAUAAGUGCCUUAUGAUUUCUAUAGUUUAGAGAGUAUGAAAGAGGCUAUAGAGAGAAGGAGAGAGAAAGAGAAAAGGUUCAGUAGUAGUGAUGAGCUAAUAGCAAGGGUAUAGGGUCUCUAGGCUAAUUUAUACUGCCACAAAAGGGCAGUGAGAUGUGAGGGAAUUGCAAGGCCUCCAAGAUGGAAAGAACUGGACAGAGACUGAUAGAAAAGGAGAGGGUACAUAUACNNNNNNNNNNNNNNNNNUACAUAUACUUUUUUUUUUGCGCUAAGGAUGUACAUAUACUCCUUUCAAGUAAUUAAUCCAUCCGUCCUAUAAAAAAUUAAAAGAGAGAGAGAGAGAGAGGAGUCUAUUUUGAGAAAGCAGAAGUAUAAUACCUAGAGAAUGAGAAUGGGGGAUACUUUUCCCCCUUUAUGUGAAAUGGGAGCGAAGGUCUUGGAAUGUGAGAAAUUUCAGAAAAAACUAGAAGAUUGGGACCUAAUUUCCCCACUACGACUGUAGGUGCGCCUGAAUGAGAAUCGGAUGCGAGAAUAGAGAAACGACCAUGGGAAACGCUUGCUUGUAUGAAUUGCAAGGGAACUGGUUUGAGCCAUGAGGCUUGUGCUUGGGUGAACUAUUAAGGCAUAAGAUAAUGAGAUAGGAACUGUAGCAAUUGUAAUGGUCCCCUCUUAUACGCCAAACUGCAUUUAGUGGAAGAAAUCAUGAACUUUGACUGAAAUCUAUUCGAGGGGUUCUCAAUUUUGCACUUAAGGUCACUUGAGGCUACAAUGGACCAGUAAGCAUAACGGGAAAAAAAAGCUUGCAAGGUAUACAUAUGCCAAUAUAGUAUUGUACAAAAUUAAAAUCUAGUAUUGUCGUAUGUUGAUCAAGUCGAGGGAGUACUUGAUGCAUUUCAUCAACAAUCAAAUGAUAUAAAUUUUUAUGAGGGUGGCAACUAGUGUGGUUGGUGAAGUUUUUUAGAACUAGUACCAAGAGUCUCACUUUAAGACCUUCCCUCACCUUAAUAUCAAGCAGAAUUUCUCCAUGUCAGUUCUAAAAGAAAUUGUCAAUUUAUACAUGCAUAAUUAAUAGACAUUUGUUUUUUUAUUAAGAGGAGGGAUAUAGAAGCGAGCAUGUAUCAAUCAGCAAUGUUAUAAACUUACUCAUUUUUCUACAUUGACAAAUUGUUGGUAGGUAUCUUAAUCAGAAUUUUAGCUUCUUUCUUCUUCUUUUUUUGACUUUCUACAAGAUGUCUCCUAGAUAAUUACUUAUCGAUGGAGUCUAAGGUGGCUGUGUUUGCCCACCACGCAUGCAAUAAUAGUCUACUUGGAUUUUCAUCUUGCCUAUUUGCUUCAAAGUUACUGGCUGAAGGUGCAUUACUUAAUUGGAGAAUAAUUUCUAACCUAAUUCAUAUACAAUAAUAGAUUUAGUUUAAAACAACAUAUCUCCAAUUCUAAAAAGCACCUCUUAAUAUUUAGACACACAGCAGAUACUCCUUCCAAAUGGAGGAGUUGCGAAUGAUUUACUUGCAUGCUUUUGCAAGCUAUCAAACAUUGCUAAAUCCCACAAUUAAUGGAGCAUGAAUCAAAUCCAUGCAUUUGCAAAAUCUGCAAGAACCUGCAACACAAUCACUUACCAGCCAUCAACUUCACAACUUAUCAUUUCAUCAGAGACAUCCGAUACAUUAUCACAACUUAUCAUUUUCUUAAAUUAGACCUUGAUUAAGCAAUCAAACUCGAUCUUUAUAUGAGGGAACCGUUUCCCAAGAUUGGACCUGUCUUCUGUGAGCCACGGCCAAAGCAAGGCCAAAUCCCACUACUUUUGAUUUAUUUAAAGUUUCUUUGAUUGUGAGAAGAGGAAAAAAAACGGAGGAAUGCAGCUCCCACGCUCACAUGGAGGGCAUCUCCUGUGCGUGCCGCACGUGCGAGACUAGGGAGCGACGACGACCUUUCUUUGUCCAUCUCCGCACGUAUAUGCACAGCUGCGCCAACCCCCACACGCGCUCACUGACGCUGCGUUCGGAUGUCCGGCGACAUCGGCGCUGUGAGCCACGUGCCGGGUGCCUCCAGGCCUCUCCGGACGCCCAACCCAACGGCUAGCCUUUGUCCUCGCCCGCCCGGGUGCCACCCCGACCCCCUAUAUUCCCUCUCCCUGUCCAGAAAUUCUCGAGCCCCUCGAGGCCACGUGGCUCCCAUACAACUCUCCCACGUGCUGUCCUCACGUGCCACUUGGACGUGACGUGUUAUACUGUUAUUCUAACUUGCAGCUUCCGUCCGCUAAGGUGAUGGGGAUAGAAUUGUACGUAGCGCAGUUUAAAGCAGACGACUUGUGUAACGGAGUUAUGUAUAUGAAAAUUUUUAAGAAAACUACACCAUAUUAUAUCCCUGUCCAUAUAACUGCUCGUAAGAACAUUUUUGCAAUGCACAAACUCCGCUUUAAGGCUCAUUUUGAUACAUGCAUAAUAAAAGUGUAUCAGAUAUAUAUACCUCCAUCAGACACAACAGUUAACCACUUAAUGCAAUACUCAAGCGAACAAAGCCAACAACCCUAACCAAGUAUUUUUACAUUAAGGUUUGUACCAACAUAUAUCUAUUGAUUAAUAAAUAAAUGCGAUCAUCCAAGGAUGGGAUAAAAAUGGUUCAAUGAACUUCAAAACAACCUAUUUCUACAAAAGAAAUAAAUAUGAUAUGUAUAAUCUAACUAUUAUUUUAUUAUACUGAUUAUAAAGUAUGUUUUACUUGCAAUGUUCAUGAUUUUUCUUUGUAUAUGAAUAAGGAUUUUUUAUCAUUGGAUAUAAAUACUUUUGAUCAUUGUUGUGUUGGUGUUUUUUCCUUAGACAAACUUACACGUAGUGUUGUUUAUACUUUGUAGAAAUAGUUGCUUGAAUCUAUGAAAAGUUGAGGAUCAUUUUGUAUUUUUUAUAUUAAUAACAUAAUAAUAAGUUUAAAUAUCAUGCAAAUCGGAAAAUAUUCUUUUUACUAAAUGAACAUUUAUUAGAACAAAUAAUAUGAUAAUUCGAGGACUGUGCCAAUCACUCACUAAAUCAUUAUUUAAUUACUCGGACUCAUAUGGUAGCCGGAGAUUAAUACAAUACAAAAGAGGAUCGGUGGUGUCAGUCAAACAUUGCUAUCACUAAGUCAAUUACUAAUGCAUGUAUCGGAUUGAUGAACUAAGCAGGGGUAUGAUAGAUUAUUUUUAGCAUUUUCUCAUAAUUUUCAUUAUUAACUAUCGAUUUUCUUACAAUAACAAUUACUAUUUGAUUUCUAAUAAAUUCAUUGGACAGCGAAGCUAGUUAAGGAAAUUUUCCACUGCAACUACAACAAACGGUAACGGAUAGGGAUCAGUUAUCCGGGAAUAUCGGAUUUACCGAAUCGAAGCCUUUGGAACGUAGUGGGAUCCGAUUGACCUUUUUCUAUUGUUAAUAUAAUAAGGUUAUCUAUUCCAUUUAAUUCUUUUAUCUUCCGGUGGAAACAAGGAGAAAGAACUUUUCGAGGCGAGGGCGGGGGUGAAAGGGCAAGGGGUAAUCAUUUGUUAAUGGAUUUCGAAGCUGUGGUCAGCGCCUGAUGCGCUGAGCUCUUGGAAAAAGGAAUUAAUAUUGCUACCUUUCUAUGCCUUUUUUUUUAAAAAUCAUGGUCCUAUAUCCUUAUGUUUAAAAUAAAAAUAUCGCAAUCGGCGAUCUCAAAUUGGGCGAUUUAUUGGUCAAAUUAAGUACACUAGUCAUCUCUUUCUGCCAUAGUAAUGGGGCAUUGGGAAACUAAUAUAUAAGAUUUUGUUUGUAAUGAAGCAUAUGAGUUGUACAUAGUUCAUGCAGCUUAGCUUGAAGCAGGGAGAACGUUGGACUAGCCGAAUUUAAUUAGGCAUUCACUAGCUCUCGCCAGGUGCAAAGCUCAUGCAUGAGGCUUGAAUAGGAUGGAGAAGGUGGUAGCCCUACCUUAGAUGAACAUAAAGAUUAAUAUAAAGGAAUCGAUUGUAUCUCUUGCAUGAAAGAAUAAUUGAUCUUCUUUUGCUAUGCUAAUAUUAGAUCGCACCUUGCAUAGAUCUUAAAGCAUUCCGAACUCUUUGUUUCAUUCAUUUAUACAGAUCUUGAAGUGUCCCUUGCACGAUAUAACAAUUGAAGUUGCGAAAAAAAGGUGAAUUAUUCUAUUUCGCGAAAGAUACAACUUGCUUUGGGUGGGUCCUACCAAAGUAGGGUACCUUUUGGAUCAUAGACUAUGAAAAGGGUGCAUUCAUGUUCAUCGUAGGAGGCAGCAUAACUAUUAGCCCACCUAGUAUUCAUCUUUUGCUAUGAGGAGGUUUUAUGUUCAAACACCUAGGUGUUUGAUAUAAAUAAUUCUUUUAAGGUUUCUAUAGCAAAUUACUUGGUGAUGCGUUUAGCAUUAUUCUUGCAUAAAAAUGAUUAUUACUUAGAAUGGAGGUAGAAUAAAUUAUUACAUAGACCGGUGCAUAUAUUUGGCAUCUCACAACUUGAAGGACCUCAUACAAAAUGUGGCUUGAAUGCUUAAUAAGCAUCUUGCACCUUGGUUAUUUAGAAUGAGAUGAUGCUCUAGAUAAAUUAUAUUAAAAACACCGCUUUUGAAAUAUGAAACUUGAUCAACAUAGAUAACUAAUAUUAUGAGACUAACUCUUAUCAAAUACACGCAGAAGAUUGUUCGAAACAUAGCCUUUUAAAAAUUGGACUUAGCAUGAAGGUAUAGAAAACAUGCUAAAUUAGUUAAUUAUGCCAUGACAAUCUCGAACUAUGGCAUACUCUGUAAUUGCACCGCUCCUCCAUUAGAGUAGCUUCAACAUGAAAAGUUUGGAAGGUUUUUAUUCAAGUUUAUCACCUGGAUAAUAUUUUUAUUUUCUUGAAAAUGAUUGGAGAUGCCCAGCCUUUUUCCCUGAGGCAUUGAUAAAGUUGUCGACCGUUGUAUCACGCGAGUUAUGUCAUCCGGAAGCAUGGAUUUCUGGGGAAAGAUCUGAUCAUGGUCCACCAACAUAGGACUACUGUGGCCAUGCAACGGAUGGGUCCCAUGACUCCCAUCCAUUGGGUGAGCCACGCGAGCUUUGCCAUCGAUCCCAUGAUUUCAAUUGACCUCCUUCUCGGUGGAACCACUGGCUAGCUAUAUGUCGUUUAUCGUACGAUAAAUCUAAAAGAAUACUGCUAAUUUUCUGUUCAUGUCCCAUGCAUGCUUUAGUGGCAUGUCUAUCAUGGCUCAGAAUUAUGUAGUUGAUUCAAAACGCUGGGCCUCAACUGCACGUAUCCUGACUUACAUAUAAAUAUGUAUGACCAUAAAUAUAAUGCUUCAUUAAUUUAGAUUAAUAUGUUUGUAUCUUCUUCCUUAGCUAUAUAUAUAGAGGGAUAUGUUAAAACUUUUAGCAUGAUUAUUGCUAACAUGGCAUUUCUCAAUUGGUCCUAUCAAAAUGGAUAAUAACCCAUCCUAAUUACUCCUAUGUUGCAUGUAUUUUAGCAGUUAAAUUAGAGAGAGCAAUCCCAUUUAUUAAUAUUUUUUUAUUUUUUGAUGAUAAGAUAUAGUACCAAAUAUUCUUAUCCAAAAGAGACUAUUGUUUGGAGAAGGAGGGAUUCAAUCGAUCCAUGAAACAUUUGAGCUCUCAAUAUAUAUACGACAAACAAGAUCGACGAGCAGCUUCAUUCAAAAAAAAAUGUCUGCUCUCUUUAACCUUCCAAGGACCUUUGCAGAUCAGCUUUUCUUUUUGCUUUCCGUGAUAACUUUUUCAGCCAACCAACUUUUCCAUUGUCCGACUCCUAAAGAAACUAUCGUAGUCCUUGGCCAUAUCAAUCAUUCGGUUUUAGACCCCUUUGCCCAUUGUAAGAACAGGGAACUGAUGCACCCCACCUAAAGGGGGACUCAAACGUACACAUAUACACACACACACAACAAAAAAAAAAUCUUCAUAUAAAUAUUUUUCCCCACGUAAUAAUUAAAAGAUGCUCGCAAGUUACGAUGCAGUGCCCUCCAACUUCUAGAACGCAAUCCGAAACCCCACCCAAUAGGCCGACCGGAUCCUUCGCAAGAUUGCUCCAAAUCCAAUGCCCAAGAAUAAUCGUGUCUUCUCCUCCCCCAGCUCGCCGAGUUAAAAGAUACCAUCUAUCUCUCUCUCUCUAUCUCACUUACUACAUCACCGACACUCGGGCCCACGGACUAACGUGAAAGCAUGAGGUUAUAAAAAACCCCAGUCAAACCCCAAAUCGACACUCAAUAAUUGAGUUAAAAAGCCAGAGCACUUUACACCACCUUUUUUUUUCUCUUUCAUUCUUCUUUUCUUCUUCUUAGACAAAGAGAUCACCACACUUUUUACCUGCCUCAACUUCGGCCUCAAAAGACUCAACAAAAGAAUAGAGGACACGCUCCUAGGGGGGGAGCCUACGGCUACGGCCUUCCUUGUGUCUUCUGAGCUCAAACUUUGAGAAACGAGUGGCAGUGUGAAAACAAAGAAACAUUGCGUUCAUGUCCAUGCCCAUCUGUCGCCUCGUAGAUUGGAGUCAUUUUAACCAUUUGUAGGGCGAGCUGGGUGCCUGUUGAACCCAACGACGACAGCCUUGGAAUUUAUUAGGGAUGGAGGUUGUGGUGGAUGGAUGGAUUGAUGCUUCAUGUAACCACUGCAUGGAACAUCCAUGCCGCCACCUUCAUUUGAGCUGGUUAGUAACUGAACAUUUGGGUUCACCUAACCUUGCAAUAAGGGCAUGGAUUGGUGAAAUUGCAAUAAGUUUGAUUUUAUCAUGGUGCGAAUCCAUGCGCAUGUGAUGGAUCUCAGGCAUGUAGAUGAAUCCAUUAUGGUGGUCCACAUAGGUUCCCUCAAAAUGAUAGUUUGUCUCAUAGGAUGUGAUUCCUCCGAUAAUUUAGUAGAUCGAGGGAUUAUUCUUGCAUUAUUUUUGGUGUACGUCCAAGAGCUUUUGCAGAUAGUAAGCCUUAUUGAAACUUGGUUGGUUACAAAUUGUUGACUCAAUCUAUCACCAUGUUGAUAGUUAAAGUCGAGCAACUAAUGUAAGUAAAAUUAACAUCCUAUUUUGCUACAUUUGAACAUUUGCAAAAUAAAUAAUGUUAGUUUGGCUUGUACAAUUCAAGUGGCCUGGCUUCUAAAUUAAUAUAUUAACAUCAUAUAGACUACAUAAAAUAGUCAGGUUCGCUAAACGAUAACGUAGUUGAACAAGAUAGUAUUGAAUAACAAAUUUGUCAUUUUAUUAUUGUUAUUAUGGAAUAGAGUUUAAAAUGUAUAUGACAUGAAAGCAAGAGAAAUGUACAAUCUUGAAAAUUCUAUCUUAUUAAGUCUAGGAUUUUUAUAAUAUCUCGCACGCAUCCAAAUAUGUAUAUUUUAAAAAUCAUUAUUUGUUGUUAGACUAUAUGCAAAAUCAUAAGAAGUACUCUGUUAUUUGUUUGUCCAUGCAAAAAACUUAUCAUAGUAUACAAAGUUCUGAUGCGUUAUGGAGGGUGGACUCCAUAAUUGGUUCCUAUAUAAUUUUAAAAAUUUUGUUUCCCAUCUAUGAUGGGUUGAUUUCUAGUAUCAAAUGAAUGGAAUAUUAUCUCAUCCAUGGCAAGGAGUCCCAAUGUCAUAAGCCUUCCCAAUCUAUAAAAAUCCUAAACUCUUAUGUUAUCCAACUCUCUUCUCAUCAAAUACAUUGAGACCUAUUCGCAAACCAGAGGAUACAUUGAUACUUUUGUUUUACGUUACUUGUUUGCAUGACCAAGCUUGAUCGAUUGCUACAUUCUCAUUACUUACACCAAAGUUCUCCAUCUAAUGCACAUCAUACAUUUCCUAGUGUUGAUCAAUAAGAACUAUUAUAUAUGUACCUGAAAGAAACAAUAAUCAAACAUACAUAUCGCUUUCAGUUCCUCAAAUCGUAUAUCAAUACCUUAACACAUCUAUACAGGUAUUCUGUUCUUGUGUUGCUUUCAAUUAAUCUUUCCAGUGUCUUCAGUAUUUUUCUGUUUGUUUGUCCCAAGACGUGUUAAGAUCUAUGUAUCUUUAUUCCCAUAAGACUGUCGCAUUCCCAUUUCCAAAGCUGUCACAUGGACCUGGAUAUGUCUGUGUCCUAAACUUAGGUUUCUUAUAAUCCUAUUUGAGGUGUGAAUCUAUUGAUGAAUUCUCCCCUUUUGACCCUUUCCCACUCCCCUACCUGGGCUCGAGCACUGUUGUGCUGUCAUGCACCCUACUAAUAUAAAAAGGACAGGGACAACCAAAAGCACCUUAGGACCUCUCUCCAUCUGUGGACAAAUCCUAUGCCAUGUUCUUAGGGAAGGGGUUGGGGGCCCUUAUUUAAUCUUCCAUGACGUAAGGAUGGGAGUUUGAGACUUUUGGUUGCAGGAAGGGAAUUGAUUAAUCUUUUGAAGUGAUGUUGUUAUGGACUUAUUGUAUGAGAUACUGAGCACGUAGUGAUGUUGGAAGGGAACGAGAUGGGGGAAUAAUCUACAGUGGAGGCAAAGGACUUUGUUUGACUGUCGACUCCAUAGCCACAGCUUUAUGUCCGGGUGAGCCCACAUGACCAUGGCUCCUUAGUGAGCAAAACAUGGAAUUUGGUCAGUCCGAGUCUUGCAUGCAUCAUUACUGCUUGUGAAUAAAACCAACAUCCAUUGGAUGCAUUGCCCAUCAUGUAAUCCAGAGAUGAAACCAAUAGAUCCCAACCAUAUCCAUUUGGCAGACUGAAAUGUUGAAAUAUAUAUAUAUGAGUUCGAGGUACAUUUGAUGACGUGGAUCGCAGUUGUUACAAAGGACAAUUUAAGUAGUUAGCCUAUUGAUAAGACUGUCAUGCAAAUAUUCCACAACAUGAAUUGUCAUACGUUAGAAAGCAGCUAAUUAAGUUGGAUUGACCAUUUCAUUUGGCCAACAUGGAGGGGAGAAGUAUUAAUUGAUAAUAUUUUAUCUGAUUUCCGGUUUCAACUUAGUCAGCAUGGGUUGUUCUUAAAUGGAGGUGAUCAUAACUCUGGCUAGCUACAUCUUAUUUAUCAUGGAGGGUAACUUAAAGAGGAGAAAAGGUUGUUUGGUAUUUAUGUCGUUUAUUAUUCACCUCUUAGAUGUUUAGAACCAACUUGAUUAGUACAUGGCCUGCAGGUAGUUUUUAUAGCUUGGGCUACAGAUAAUUUGUUUUAUUCUGAUUAAUUUCAUAGAUUCAAAAAAAUAAUCAAAAUGAUGUGAAAUUAAUCAAACUAGUUAAUUCGAACAGCAAGAUCGGCCUCACCAAGAUGUUUUAGUAUGUUUAGUAUUCAUCCUUAUAUAAAAUAGACAUUACGGCAAUUAACAUACAUAGUCUUCAACAACUCCUGUUAUUAAUAUAUUUUUUUUAGAAUUAACCGUUAAGCGUCCAUUUUGGAACUCCUCAUCUUUAACUCCAUUUAAAUUGAGCUGUAUGUGUAGUUGAUUCUGUCUAGUUUGGUUAGAAACAUUUACAAUGUGUUAUUCUUUUUCAAGUAGUAUUAACUAUACACUGCUUUUUGAUGUGAUUCAUUCACUAUCUCAGCUUUCCAUUGUAAAGGACUUACACUGUAAAUCCAUAAUUAACUAUCUUGCAGGCAUGCACUGUUUAAGAAUUGUUUGAUUUGAUUGGAAGGACCAUAAAAGGCUUGGAGGCUUGCAAGGCCUAAUGAUCAAUAAAGAAGAAAAGGAUAAAGUCAGGUAAUCUGGCCAUGAGGAAACUGAUGAGUUGCUUAGAUAUAUUCAGUUACAACAAGUGAUUGAGAGCUAAGAAGAUGAGACAUCCAUGGAAUCCAACUUCAAAUUGCAGGCAUGAGUGAUGAGGGGCCUCCAUUGUACUAGCUGAAUUCAGCGAUGAGCGACGGCCGGCUUUCCACUCCAGAAAAUUUGAUGUGUAGACACUCGAUAUCGUCUUUGAACAGAUGGAUUAGAGUGAUGGGUGAUGUCAAAAGAAAGCAUGAAUACUUCUGCUAACAGUGCCAUCUGAUUCCCUUCUGCUGUCACAUUAGCUAAGAGUAGCUCAUCAAUGAUAUUGGUUUGCUUUCUAGUGUUCUGCUUCACAAGGCCAACUUUUAGGCUUGGGCCUGGUUCCUUUAUGCAAGUGUUCGUCAACAUUGCAAGUAGUUCAUUAAUUUUAUGAGAAAAGAAAGCAGAGCUACAGGCUAUUUGAACCAAAUUCAUCAAGGCAACAGGAUAAUUUCCUAGCCAAGGUGUUGUUUGAUGAAUAAGAGCCUCUCUGGAGAGCCAAUCAGCUGGCUGAUUUACCUCCCUAUCUAUAUACAUGAAUGAUGUGCAUACAACAAAAGAAGAAAAUAAAAACUUUUCAAAAUUGGUUAUGCAUAGCAUUUAUCAUCUAGGUACAUCACCUAGUUAGUGUUUUUUUUUCCUCUUCUCUCAAGAUUAUGAGGGAGCCCAUUUGAUGAGUCCAAUCGGUGUAAGUAUCUGGGCUAGUCUGAGACUUGAAGCCAGAACUUUCAUAGAGGAAGAAAUCCCACCUGUAUAAAAAUUCUUGAGGAUACACCAUUUAAUUUGAGAGUCUCUCACUACCUAGAUAGCUUGAGAAUUAAAAUGGAAGUAGGUACAUCUGAUUCGCUCCCUUCAACGCAGCUUGUAAUUCCAAUAAAAUAGACUAAUGACAUGAAGAGAGAUGUAACAAGCAUCUCUUUACUUUUUUGAUCUUUGAAAUGCUCCAUCAACGUUGAGUUUGACGUAAGGUUGGUCAUGGGGCAUGCAAUUGAAGUGAAGUGUCCAAGGAGCUCCAAAGACCAGUAAUGCUCCAAUAUCUAAGAAAGUCAAGCUCAGUGGUGUUAGCUUCAGAGUUGGAUUUCAAACAUGCAAGACCUCCAUUGCUUGAGAAGGGAAGGUUUGGACUGUAAAAUGGAAAGCAGAAUUUUGUUGUUGAGGACGGUUUCAAUGCAUGCUGUCCAGGGAGUCAAGGUAAGCAAGAAUGGAAGCGCUCUAAAAAGGCUUUUGCAUCUCUGUGCAACUAAAGAGAGUGAGUGCAUUGGAGCUGAGAUGUGAAAUAACCAGCAAGACUGAGUACCCAAGCAAUGAACUAAGAUAUGAUUACAAGGUUGGAUAUCAGAGUUGCAUCUGGUGCAUAACCUAUCUAACAGGCAGGUUGUAUUAGGUCGGGUAUGUAAUAAUGGGUUAAAUGGGUCUUAAUAAAGAGAUCUUAAAAGGGCGAAUUGUAACCAUGUAGACCUAAUCCUAUUUAAUGUUGAGUCUGGUCAGCUCUUUUAUAACCCAAACUUGUUUAUCUUGCGUUAGUUAUAGGUCAAAUUGGCAGAUUAUGGCACCAAAUUGCCAGCCCUUGGGGUGGUCAUGAAUUUUUUUUUUUUUUUGGUGGUAAAAGCGGCAUUUCAUAUCACUCUAACGUGGGUACAUUCUGCCAAAUCAGAAGAAAGUAGACGGUACAGGAGUAAGAGCAUCUCUGAUACAGACGUCCAGCUUACUUCUUUGAUAUGCCGAGCAACAAAUGAGACGACCUAGCUAGCUGCUCUGUUCGUCUCACGAAACACAUGAGUCGUCUGAAAGGAAGCCAAAUCUCAAAUCAAUCUGCGUAUCUUCCGGAGCAGAGGAUGACCAUCUUCAUGUCUAUCCAAUUUAAUCUAAGCUAAUAAAAUAAAUAUAUAAAUAAUAUCAUAUAUAUAGUAUAUUAUAUCUAAUAUUAUUAAAUUAAAAAUUAUUAAAAAGUGUGCCAUCACAUCAAUGAAUGCUUAAAGCAUCAAUUUAAUGGAAAUAUUUUAUGUUAUUAUUUUAUUUUAAAGUAUUUGUUCAAUCUGACCUAGUUUUAUUAGCGUAACGAAAUCUAGACCGUUACAGGCUAUUUCAAUCCAAAUUCAGCUUAAAAUAGGGUUGGGUUAAAAAUAAACUCAAUCAAGACUAGAUUGGAUCGAAUUAGAAUUGAGAGAUAUGAACACUAGAUUGGAUUAACCCAAAUCAAGCCGUUCAAGGGCAGUCCCAGCGGUAGCCUUGUGAUUUCUCCACCUCGAGUAAGCUGUUCUUAGCCCCGUCUUCUAAACACCUUCCUCCCUCGCUCGCUCUCUCUCGCUCUGUCACACUCGUUCUGUCGAUUGUUUGGAAAUUGGCGCAGAGAGACAUUCAGCGUGCGAUUGCGGAGGAGAGAAGAGAAAAUGGAGGAUGACGGUGUUCCACUUUUUCAACUGCGCCAUCCUCACCUUCGGCCCUCAUGCCGUCUACUUCUCCGCCACUCCUCUGUAAGCUCUAAAUCCGCCAUCUUCUUCUCCAAGAAACCCCUCCUAAUUUCCACACCCGACCGAUUGGUUUCAUACCUUCUUAUACUCCGAAUCCAUCCAAUAACAAUUCGGAAUUGUCGCAAAAACCCUAGGUCUUUAGAUUUAUGACUCUGCUAAUAUCUUUAGGAAAAUGUGAUAUGAUUGGAAUUAGUUGUGAUUUGAGAGAUGAUGCUCGCUGCUCGCAUUUGAUUUUCUUGAAUUUGGUCGGCUCGUGGCAGCAUCUAUUGUGGAUUUAUUCCCAUGUUGGUUGCAGAUUCCUUGAAGUGAAUGGUGUAGUUUGGAAAAAGGACCGUGAUGUUAAGAUUGUGCGUAUAUUCUUUUGGAAAAUUUGAUUUUAUGCUUUACCCAUCCAUUUUGGGAUUUGAUCCCCGCUUGCCUGAUGGAGAUAUUGGGCGUGGUGGAAUAAAAGACAAAAAUGGCUGCCAUAUACCACUGUUGCCUGAUGUGGCAGACGUAUGUUAAGAGAAGGCGUACGAUUAGAGAUAUUGGGUCUCUGGCUGGGAUAAAUCUUGCAGUGGAAAGAAAGGAUUGUUAAUUAUCGAAGCAUCAGUGCUUGGGAAUAAUGGGGUGUUUGAGAUAAUGCAGGGCAUUUAAGGUGAGGCCAUGAUGAUAUUCAUUUUUAAUUAAUGGCUCAAAGGCUGAAAUGCCAUAAGAACGGGGCAGAAAACAGCGAUGGACACAAGCAUCUGGAUGCUGAAAUGAUGCAUGACAGGGGCAGGGCCCCACGAGAGGAGGAGGCAGUUGGGUGGCACCGGAGAAGAAGGUGGAGGAGGGUCAACGGCCUUCAAUGCGGUAGUUUGAGGACAAUGUGUGGUCCAUCCUGUAAUUGGUUCCCACCUCCAGGCCGAGCUGGGGAAGGCGCUAGAGAGGGGGAGUUAGGUUUUCUCCAAUCCUCCUUUGUUUCUGACCCAUGCUAAACUGCAUAUAUGUGGUCUAUUAGCAGCUUUAGGGUCCAUUUUAUUCAUCGCAGUACAUGGAAAACCUAUGUUGGAUGCGACCCCUUUUUGAGCAUCAGAAGGGGACAGCCUGUGGAGUGUACCUUACCAUGAAAAAACCAGAAUGACCCCUUACCAUAGAAUUUGAAUCCUUGGUGUGGUUCCUGAAAAGCUGGAUCUGAAUUUCAUGGUUAGUAGUAUGGAUAUUAGGAUGCUCUUAUAUAUUGUGUUUCAUUGACAAGAGAAUGUAAGUAAACAUGGUUGUGAAAAAAUGAAAAAGAGAAGCUAGGACCCUUUUUUGGGGGUUCCGAGUUUGAAUAAAGAUUUCUCCAAUAUAAAAGUGUUUCUUUCUGUUGACUUUUAAAUUUUUUGAGGUAAUUUUUUAUUUUUUAUUUAUAUUUGAACUUUUCAAUUUGAUUCCUCAUUGCUAUGAAGUCAUAAAUGAUGAAGGUAUACAAAAAUGGAAAAAAGUGAAGUGAAUUACUAAGACACACAAAGGAAAAAUGAAGAAGGUCUAGAGAUGGCAAAGGAGGAAAGGCGUGAAGUAAUUAUAAUGCUAUAAAUAAUAAGCUCAAACCUAGGACAUAGAUGCAAGGGAUGAGGUACCAAUAUUAGUAUCUUACUAAUAACAUAUGGAUGGGUAAGGCAUGAUAUCUUAGCAUGCCUAGAUGCAGUAUGCCCCAUAGUUCUGGAAUGGUAAAAAUGAGUUGAUGCACCAUGUCUGUGUUGGUAUCGACACUGGAAGCUGCUGAUUUAGUACAUUAUAUAGUAGGUAGGUAUCCGUAAUUGUCGAUACUCAAAUUCUUGCAUGGAUGCCUUUGGCCACUCAAUCUUGUUGGAAACAUGCCAAAGUGCACUGAAGUGCUGAAUUACAUAAAUCGUGAUUAGGUUAGUACUGACUAAUCUUAGUUAUGUUUGAUGGUUCCAUAUCUAUAUAUUCUUAUCUCUAAUUUUCAAGUAUUAAUUUGUAGUUAUAAUUGCGUAUAUAUCUAUCCAACAGUGAGGAUUAUAUUUUNNNNNNNNNNNNNNNNNNNNNNNNNNNNNNNNNNNNNNNNNNNNNNNNNNNNNNNNNNNNNNNNNNNNNNNNNNNNNNNNNNNNNNNNNNNNNNNNNNNNNNNNNNNNNNNNNNNNNNNNNNNNNNNNNNNNNNNNNNNNNNNNNNNNNNNNNNNNNNNNNNNNNNNNNNNNNNNNNNNNNNNNNNNNNNNNNNNNNNNNNNNNNNNNNNNNNNNNNNNNNNNNNNNNNNNNNNNNNNNNNNNNNNNNNNNNNNNNNNNNNNNNNNNNNNNNNNNNNNNNNNNNNNNNNNNNNNNNNNNNNNNNNNNNNNNNNNNNNNNNNNNNNNNNNNNNNNNNNNNNNNNNNNNNNNNNNNNNNNNNNNNNNNNNNNNNNNNNNNNNNNNNNNNNNNNNNNNNNNNNNNNNNNNNNNNNNNNNNNNNNNNNNNNNNNNNNNNNNNNNNNNNNNNNNNNNNNNNNNNNNNNNNNNNNNNNNNNNNNNNNNNNNNNNNNNNNNNNNNNNNNNNNNNNNNNNNNNNNNNNNNNNNNNNNNNNNNNNNNNNNNNNNNNNNNNNNNNNNNNNNNNNNNNNNNNNNNNNNNNNNNNNNNNNNNNNNNNNNNNNNNNNNNNNNNNNNNNNNNNNNNNNNNNNNNNNNNNNNNNNNNNNNNNNNNNNNNNNNNNNNNNNNNNNNNNNNNNNNNNNNNNNNNNNNNNNNNNNNNNNNNNNNNNNNNNNNNNNNNNNNNNNNNNNNNNNNNNNNNNNNNNNNNNNNNNNNNNNNNNNNNNNNNNNNNNNNNNNNNNNNNNNNNNNNNNNNNNNNNNNNNNNNNNNNNNNNNNNNNNNNNNNNNNNNNNNNNNNNNNNNNNNNNNNNNNNNNNNNNNNNNNNNNNNNNNNNNNNNNNNNNNNNNNNNNNNNNNNNNNNNNNNNNNNNNNNNNNNNNNNNNNNNNNNNNNNNNNNNNNNNNNNNNNNNNNNNNNNNNNNNNNNNNNNNNNNNNNNNNNNNNNNNNNNNNNNNNNNNNNNNNNNNNNNNNNNNNNNNNNNNNNNNNNNNNNNNNNNNNNNNNNNNNNNNNNNNNNNNNNNNNNNNNNNNNNNNNNNNNNNNNNNNNNNNNNNNNNNNNNNNNNNNNNNNNNNNNNNNNNNNNNNNNNNNNNNNNNNNNNNNNNNNNNNNNNNNNNNNNNNNNNNNNNNNNNNNNNNNNNNNNNNNNNNNNNNNNNNNNNNNNNNNNNNNNNNNNNNNNNNNNNNNNNNNNNNNNNNNNNNNNNNNNNNNNNNNNNNNNNNNNNNNNNNNNNNNNNNNNNNNNNNNNNNNNNNNNNNNNNNNNNNNNNNNNNUUUUUUCACACCGUUAGAACAACCGUUAUAUUAGGGAUAUUUGUACAAUAACAGAGUUUUACGAGGGUAUACAUGCAAAUACCAAUUUUCAAAGGGUAUUCACGCAAAAUCUGAUAUUUAGAAGGGUAUCUAUGCAAAAAACCCUUAUAUUUUUUGCAAAGAUGCAUGAUAGUUAUGUGUACAUGCAUGAUGGCAUGGUUGACAUUCAACAUAAAAUAUUGAGCUCAUAAUAUAAUCAGCUUAUGCACUUUUUAGUAAUUUGAAAUUUGAGCUUAUAGUUACUAGUCAAAUUACUUUCUGGCAAUAUUCAUGCUUUUGAUCAGCAGAACUUAUGCCAAUUGCUUAUUAUGGUAAAUGGUUGUUCUUUUUCCUUUGUCCUUAUCCUAUUGAUGAAUUAGAUGAUUAUGCUUUUUCAAACAUCAAAUUUAUCUGGGUAAGUUUUGCCGCUGUCAAAAUUUGGGAGAGCAAUACAUAACCAGUUUGUAUCCCUAAUGUUUCUGAAGUCUGGUUUAUUAUAGAUAGAUUUUAAUGCAGUUUGUCUUAAUGCAGAUCAGAGUAUGAUACUAUUGAAACUUCUUUCAAAGCUGCUGCUGUUUAUCUUGGAACAGCAUUAGUGAAGGUUUGUAAUCUAUUUGCUGUUAAUAUUCUUGUAAAUAUAUGAAAGAAGGAGAAGUUUAUCCCAGAAUACCUAUAAAAGUAGUGAUCUAAGGAUAUUAUUUCUGAUAACUGCUUAAUACUUCCAAGCGUAUAUUUAUUCAAAUAUGUAUAUUUCAUCAGCUUCUUUAGCUCUCCAGAUCAACAUUUUGCUUCUUCCAUAGUUGGAGAAAAAGUUUUAAAGUUCUGAUUUGACUCACUUGAUUGGUGAACAACCAUGGGAUUUGCAGUUUCUCUUGACACCAACCAAUGUGUUAACCUGCAAAAAAGCCAGAUUUAUUUUUUAUUUGAAAAUGUGCGAAGGACCUCUUCUCAAAGUUCAAGAAAGCCCUUAAAAUCUAUGAGAGAUGUUCCAGUUAACAUAUUGUUGAAUAAAUAUGAAGAUGUUAAACACAGGCAAUGUGAAAAUUUGUAUUAAAUCAUCGAAAAAGUCAUUUUAUAGUUUUCCAAUCUUAUCAUGUCCGGUCUAUUGUCUAUAAUUGGAUAUUAGAAUUAUGUUAACAUAGCUGUUCAUAUAUUCGUUUUUAUAGUCUCAUCUUGUUUGUUGAUCUGAUGUUGAUGUAGUGAAAUUAUUUUUGAAUUUUGUUGAGCCACUCAAGAACUAAUUAUUUAUCACUUAUUUUCUCUAAUGGUUACAGUUCUUUAUCAGCAGAAGGUUGCUUGUUACUUCUAAUAUUGUUUAUUCUAUAAUUGCAGCUUGUUUGCCUGGCAACUUUUCUCAAAGUAUCUGAGAAUGACAGUUUUGAUUCAUGUCAGGUAGUUUUGGCAUGUUCAGGAGAAUGUCUUCAUUUGGUUUCAUAGUGCUUGAACUUUCAAUAUGUAUUUUUCUUGCAAAAAUCCCUCCCUCUCUAGAAUGUUAUAUAACUCCUCAAUAGCAGGCUGAUUCAUUAUGCAUCAUGAUUUGCACUAAUGCAUGCACAUUCAACAGUACCACAUUAUUUUGUUCAGGCUGCAUGCUACAUGCCAUGUACUAUCGAAUUUUCACAUUUGAAAUUUCUUGUUAUAUAGUAUGUAAAGAUCCUAUGAUUGCACCUGACUUUGUGAGCAACAUUAUUUCUGUCCAUCUCAGUUGACAUAUAUGCUUGCCAGCAUGCUUGUGAAUAUAAUAAAAAAGUCGCUGGAUCUUGCAACUAUUUGAGAAGAGCUUUGGGAUGACAGCCUUCAAAGUUGGUGGGCUUUUACAUCAAAAAAGAAAAAAGAUAGUGGGCUUUGAAUUAUUCUCCUCUUUGAUGAUGGCUUUCAUCAGUUGGCAGCUUUUUUUAUGCUUGUCAGAGACCAGCCUAACAAAUGGAGAUUGCCACCAGUUCAGUUAUUUGGUCAGGGAAGGGUUACCCACGUCCUUUGAUUCUAUGUACCCAAAAACAAAGCCAAAGAAACUUGUCAUGCUUGCAGCAUCUUGGCCUGCUCUCUGAUUGAAGCAUAUGCUCUUCUUUUUUUUGGUACAAAGCAUGUGUUUUUGAUAUUAAUUUAAUUUCUCUGCUCCAGCUGAGUACAAAUGGAGCAAGCUCAGCCUCUUGUACUUUCAGAACUCUUGCACUGUCAUUUAAGUCACUUUUGAUUGUAAGUUUUGAGCUAAGCUGACUGGGUGAAGUAAAAUUAUCAGGUAUACCCACAGCAAUGUUAUAAUCAUUUACCUGCACCUCCAGUUGUGAAGGUUCUUCUAAUUUGUGGUUUUAUGCCAAUUUUUCCCCCAUUAAUGAGAGCCUAUCCUUUUUUGAUCUGCUUGCUUAUUAUUAGAAUCUGCUGACAAGGUUUAGUCUGAGCACUCUACAGAAGGUUGGUAUGUUGAUGGAAUCUCAUUGCCCCAUAAUUUGAAAUAUAUUUUUUAUGAGACCUCGCUGUGAAGUCCUCAUUGAAUUUGAUCAGCAUUUUAAAUCAUGUCCUCCACGGAUCCAAGUUGGUUUCGGAAAAAACAAAAAAAUACAAAAACUUAUCCGAAAUUUAUGUUUGUUACACUUAUAUUCAAUAGUAUGUAAAAUCUAUACUUACAUCCGAUUAAAGAAAUGGAUGGCCAAAGGCUGUUGGUUGCAUAGUCUGUUGUGAGGUCAGAAUACCAUCAAGCCCUGCUGCUAUCAUCUGUGAUUAGCUUUAAAAAUCAUUACUUGCUAAUGAACUUUAUCAACAUUGUCAAGAUGAUCAGACAGAAGUGGCAUUAAGUGAGCAAAUUAGUCAUAAAACGAGCUUAUUUAAUUUCAUAUAUCGUUUAAUGAAUGAAUAUGAAGUAACAGUGCAACCUGUAAUAAAAAUAAAAAUAAACACCAUCUUAAACAACUUUAACAUGUAUUUUUUUUUUUUUCUGAUGAUGGCAUCAUUAACAUGUUUCUCUGAAACAGCCGUUCUCUUGAAAACACAGAAUUGAAACAUUGCACUGAUCAAUAUAAACUGCUUUUAAUCAAAUAUCAAUCUUUCAACCAAUAUUCAAUUCAUCAUUCGGCCCCAAAUAUCCAAAGGAAAAUAACAAGGACAAUAUUAUGUUGAAAGAAACUAAGUUGCCAUCUUCUACUCAGCUUCCUCUAAAGUUGCUUCCACUCGAAGAAGAACGAAGCCCACGGCCACCCCAAUCAACACAAGGCCAUUCAUGAUCGCUGCAAUCUUAAAAAUCUCAUCUGCCGCACUGAAGGUGGAAGAGAGAGCUCCACCUUUGCCCUUCUUUCCCUGCGAUAAGGACCUGAGGGAGCUCACAACCAUGGCGAAGGACUGGGUAGUGCAAGCUGGAAGGCCGAGGUUGGUUACUUUGUUGUGAGCUUUGAGGCCUCCAUAGGAGUUCAGUCCUUCAAUGUAACCCACACUGGACUUCUUUCUCAUUGAGGAGCUCAGGGUGCACGAGACAGCAGCUGCCGGGAGUGUUGCUGAAGAGAGAGCUGCCAUCUCUGAGAGAGCUCACAAUCUGCAGCAUAAACUAUGUUAUCAGUUCUGAGAGUAUAAAACUAUUUGAUUCUACGAUUAAGUAGUGGAGGACAGAAUUAUAAGUAGGAAUUCAACAAGGAGAGAAGGAUGAAUGUUUGAUACCUGUUGUGUGUUUAAGGCUAAAAGAAUGAAGAGGUGGGAAGGAGGAAGGGAGAGGAGUAUUGCAUGAUAAAGGGAGGGCGAGUUUUGGAUAAGGUGAGAGGAAGGAUGUUUGGCUGCCAAAGAGAUUACAUCCUCACUUUGGAGAAGAGUUUAAAUGUUGGCCAGGAAAAUUGGAGGUCUAAAAUUAUAGGCACUUGAUGAGACAAGUCAGAAGUUAGGUCUGCCUCUUUUUUUCCUCCUGGAAGAGAAAUUUGUGAAUAAUUUGUUAUCAGCGAUGGGUAUGACAAAUUCUUGGAUAAGAUGGGUUAAGAUAGGAUAAUUUUUUUAUUGGAUAAAUUAAUUUUAUCUGAUAAUUAUAUUGUCUAGUCUUGAUUGAAAGAUACAAAUACCUCACUAUUUGUAUUUACUUUUUCAUAACAAACUAGUAUUUUUGAAUAUUUCUACAAAAUUAGGUUAAAAUUUUUAUAGAAAUUGGACAGGUUGCCCUUGCAUUUUUGAAGAACUUAUCCAAAUACGAUCCAGAUUCUAGCUUUUGGGCUGUAGAAAGAAAAAAAAUCUACUCAAAUUAUAUGAGAUUUGAAUUGAAUGGUGUUUGGUUGAUACGGGGUUAUGCUUAAAUAAUCUGUCUAAUCCAUAAAGUCUGUAGGAUUUUCAGCUCAAUUCUAUAUAAAUAUCGAAACGUAUCCUAAAAAUAGAAUAAAAUAUAAGAACAAUUCUAGUUUCAUGGUAUUUAAGAUAUUAUUGAUUCCUGAAUAUUCUUGUUCUACCAAAAUAUCGGAGAUUAGCAAUUUGAGGCUAUUUCUAGACAUGUUUGCCAUUUUUUUAAGAGAUAAAGCAGGAAGAGGAUGAAUAAAUAGCUUAUUCUACCCUUUUGUAAUGUAUAUUAGACCUUAAUAAUUUGUGUAUCAGAUAUAUUUUUUUCUCAUCAUCCAAUAUCCAUGCACACCGAUAUCCUCUUCACCCCCGGAGAGCCACAUAGAAAUGUCUACGCGGACAGGUACGUCGGACUAACUCUCCAUUCGAGGGAGUCGAAGCUUUAGAACGAUUUCCCAUCAUACACAAAGCUUAUCAAAUCAACGGCCUAAUUUUCUCGAUCGGCUGCUCUCCUUGGGGCGCAAAAUUAUCGUUUCGCCCUCUACCGUCUUUUAUUGUGUCGCCACGCCCUCCCAGAAAAUCCCUAAACCCUCGAAGCCAGCAAUCCCCGGAGCCUCAGCUUCUCUUUCUUUCUCGAAAUGGCUUGGCGUGGGUCGAUCUCCAGAUCGCUGCACGCCGCAGCGCGGUCGUCCUCCUCCUCCCUCCGUUCCCGGCCGGCUCCCCCCCGCCUUCGCCCUCCGCCGCUUGCCUCCCCUCGGCUCCCGCGCCGCCGCCUCUCUUUCGCCUCUCCCAGGUAAAUCCGUCCAUUUUCUCCCGAUUUCCUCUGGUUGUCGAUUUCUCAAGUGGCUUUUUCCGGCAGGACUUUGGGAGAGCUAGGGUGCGCCCAGUCUCUCCUCCCGCUCCACAGCGUGGUCGCCGUGCCCCGCCUCACCUCGCACCUUUCCGUCAGCGCGAGAGCGUGCUGUGAGCUCUCUCAGGGUACCUUUCGUCGCACUUGUCAAGAUCGCUAGUUAUCUCCUUUCUUUGUGAGUCUUGUCAUCGGUCUAGUCUUGCUUUUCUAGGAUGUCAAUUGCAUGAUUGAAAGAAAAUAAAAGGCUAUCUUUUUUUAUGUUGUUUUGAAUCGAUACUUAUAUGAUACGAUGGGAUCUUGCAUUAGAUGGUUAGGGUUUUUGAGAUGCUUGUUUUUAUUGUUUUUGGGAUUGGGAUUUGAUAGGGAAAAAUGGAAAAGAUGGUUGAUGCAAGAGACAGGCUGGCAUUCGGUGGGAAGCAUUGAUUUCUAAGUUGAUGUAGGUUCCUCUUUUCUUAAUUGCUCUUCCUGCAGUGAAUGGAUAGGAAAGUUUAAAUUUAGAGAGAAAACUUGGAAAGUUGAAUGAUUUGAAGAGUAAGAAAAAGAAAACACAAUCAUGUUUUGCAAAUUACAUGUGACUGAUGAAUCUGGUUCCCUGUAUUGUUUACCUUAUAAGUAUUGAUGUGAAUGCAUCUCUUACGUUUCUGACAUUUUUUUAAGUGAUAUAUGUAUGUAUGUAUGUAUGUAUGUAUGUAUGCAUGCAUGCUUUGUUUUACAUUUUAAUGUUUAAAUUUGAUGUAAUUAGUUUAGAGAUAGAUCAACAUGUCUUUACAUGUCCGUAUUGAUGCAUUGUCUUAUUUGUCUCUUUCUUGGAUUAACUAGAAGUUAGUACUUUGUUAUUUCUCCAUCUUUCACUGCAAUAUUUAAAUGAGUAUCAGGAUGAACUAAUUAAAGUACUUGUGAGACCAUUUGAGGUCUCCUUUACUGACUGACAAAAAGGGUAUAUUAAAUAGUGUUUAAUUGGGAGUUGCAGUGACAUUUUUUUUACCGCCAUCUUUUGUUGAUCAUUGUUGCAUACUUCUGAGAUGGCUUGUAUUAGAAGGUUAAGACUAGUCUAUUCUUUUCUUAACUUAUCGUUUUAUUUGAAUUCAUUUUUGGUUGAUUUGAGGUAAUUGGGAUUGAGAUUUGAUAGGGAGGAAUGGGAAAGAUGGGUGAUGCAAGAGAGAGGACAGGAUUCAGUGAAAGCAGGAGGAUGGUGAUGUUGUGUCAACCACUGUAGGUUUUCUCUUUCCUAACGGUUAUUCCAAAAGUAAAUAUGUAAGAUUAAAAGAAAAAGUAUGCAUAGCAGAAAAUAAAGUUGGACAAAAGUAUAAACAUAACUCUUUGGUAAAGAUGAUUUUGCCUAACACUGGAUCUUUCUUUUGAUGUUGUACUAAAUUGGUAGCUCAUGCUAGUUCAGCAUAAUGUAGUAAAGCAACAACAUAGUACAUGCAUAUUUUCUUUUCUCUUUUUCUUUUCUUGGGCCACUUUGCGGAGGUUGUUGUUGUUGAACAUUUUAUUCUGUUUUUUAAUUCUUCAAGAAAUUUUAUCGUUUAUCUUGUUGGUCAUAUAUGAAUAUAAAGAAGUGAGCUUUUCAUGCAUUCAAAUUGAUGUUCCCCUUAUCCAUGUUCCCCCUUGGUCCUUUUGCUACCUUUCUCUAUUUGAGUAUUAUGUUUUGAAAGCAUGAAACUCUGCGUAGCAUUUAGUUUUGAUUUUCCGCAAAACAUGAAAGUGCAUGUUGCCUAAUGAAGUUAAUUUUUUAGGACUAUCAUUGGUGUUAGAUUUAUUAAUUUGACAUUUAAUGAUGAGUCAUAGUUAGCAGCUACAUAUCAAGGUUAUCAUCAAUGUUGUCACUAUCAUCAAUAUUGAUAUCAUCGCUAGCAUCAUCAUUUAUAUCGUUACUAUUAUCAAUAUAAUAUCAUCAAGACUAUAACCUUUAGAAUUGUCAUCACUGAACUUGUUCAGAAAUAUCAUAAAGAAAGGAACAUAGGAGUUUGUCAUUAGGUAUUUGACCAAACAGCAUCUUCUGAUUCCUACAGAACCUAUCACUAAAAUACCCCUUAAAAGGUAUAUGGUUAAGUAGAGGGGAUCCCUUGUACAGCUUGAGAUAUGACCAAUUUCAACAAUCAUUUGGCUGAUUUUGUUGAUUUUUGUGAGCAUGGCAGAAGAAACAUCCUCAUUACUGAAUAAAAGAAACACCUACUACUCAGUUGAUGUCCUUUUGCUAAAGCUGAUUCAUAUCUAAGCUUGAAUUAACCAAUUGCCGCCUUAUUUCACUGUCUUGUAACACUUCUUAUCGAGAACCAAUUGUCAAUGUUUCAAGAUGUUACCUUAUGGUUAUGUUACAUGCUUUUUCCUAUGACUUAGAUGGAAAGUUAUGGGACAAAUACUUAGAACUUCAAUGUAGUGUACCAUGCAAACUUUAACUGGAAUUUUUAUGAAAAUGAGGCUCUUGUCAAUGUUGAUGGCUAAGAGAUGCCCUGUUCUAUUGUUGUUGCUGUUGAAAUGGAGAGAGAUAAAACAAGGAAUCUAAAAAUGAAAUGGUGCUUGAUGAAUAGUGUUGGGGUGCCUCUAGCUUGAGAGCAACUUACAUCCUUGAGGUAUGGUGGAAAAUCAUAAAAUGACAUUAAACCUUGCAGUGGCACAUGGAUGGUAUGACAGAUGGUCUAGGUAAAUAUGUUAGGUGCAGACAUUUAUGUGGUUGUCUAAUAAAUCCACACUUGAGAAUAAUUGAAGUUUAUGUGUUGCCCAAUCGAGGAUAGAAAGUGGAGUAGGAUUAAGUUAUGCAGUGGAUAUGUGAAGUAAACAUAUGAGGAGGCACUGUCAUAAUAAAAAAAAGGGGGCAUAUAUAAGAUCUGUUGGGGAAAUAGUUAAUCUGUAUUAUUAACUGUUAACUUUUCACUCUUUGGCACCACAAAAAAAAUAGUAAUGUAUUUCGGGGAGGUGGCUACAUUGGAAGAAAUAUUGCUAGUUUUGUGGAAUGAGUCUUUGUGAUUUCUUGCUGAUAUAUUUUUCUUUCUUUCUUGGAGAUUGGGGGUUUGUACACGGUUUAUAUAAAAUCAUUUGUGAUGCAAAGGGGCUAUUGAGACUCUAAGUUUGUUAUUGGUAUGUGAUGGGGUUAUCCUAGGCGCUGACUUAGAUAGUGCAUCUUCAUGUUUGUUUUCUCAAUGGAGGUGGAAAUGAUUGAUGAUAGCUUGCCCCCAAUUGUCCCUUUGUGGCCUUUUGUACAUUCUGGUGCAUUAUGAAGUCUUUUGCAUUUGUGAGAACUUUUGCAUUUCUGAAAAUCUAAAAGGCAGAAUGUUCUGUAAUGGUAUGGGACUAUCUCUGUUUUAUAACGAAACUUUGGAGUUUGAACCUUUUUAGUGAGGGCAUUUAUUAUGUGAAUGUAUUUUGACUUAAUGCUAUCUUAUAAGCAUGAUGACAACCUGGUAUAUGCUAUUUCAUAGUGUCCAUUACUGAUAAAACACAUUGGAUAACCAUAGUUAAAUUGUAUGUGAGUGUAAGCUUGUUGUUUUGAGAUUGUUAAGCAUUGAAUGUAUUUCAAAUUGAAGAUGGCACUGAUUGUAGAUUUGGAUUUCCUUCUUUUUUUAGGUCUCCGAAUGUAUAAUAGUGUCAACUGCAUAUAUUGUGAUAAAUUUCUACCUAUGGUCAACCUCCAAACUUUAUGCAUAUAUUUGGCAGCUAUUCUCACAUCAUCGUGGUUCUCGUUGCAUUUUCUAGAUUUGGGUGUCCUAUUGAUUUUUAUGUGUACUUAUCUAUGUUAGAUAUACUUGGGUUCUUGGGCUGGGUGUAGGUGUGUGUCUAAGCGUUGGAUCCUUUCAAUAUACAAAAAAAAAAAAAAAAAAUACUUGCCAUGCUGUGUUGAAGAAUCACCAACUUCUAUGUUGAAGUGUUGGUGCAGUUAGUUUAGGCUAAAUCAAAGAGUCUAGGAAAUAUGAAUACUUGUUGUAUUUGCAUAUUUUGGAAAAAAUGAAGAUUUGAAUUUAUGGUUCUGCCUAAGAAUUGAUUGAAAUUUGAAACACAAAAUCAUAUGAUAGUUAUAGGAGGUUCAAAAGGGAAAGAUUAAUGAUAUAUGCAAGAAGUCAAGGAGAUUAGGGACAGCAAAAAAAAAGAAGAAAGAUGUGGACCUUUAAAUAUGCUUAAAGGAUGAAGGUGGUGAAGUCCUUUGGGGAGCUUUGAAAAGAUUUAGAAAUACAAAAGAUACUUGAUUCUGUAAAUGAGGAUUAGUGACGAGCUUUUGAUUAGCAACAUAUUUAUGCAUAUGGUUGAUAGCAGUAGAUCAGGUUUGUGCUUGCAAGCUAUUAAAAUUAAGGAUUUUCAGGAUGAAGUAUGUUAAGGUUUCAAAAGUAGAUGAGAAGUGCAUAAUGGAUGGAUAUAGUGGAGCAUAUAUAGUUGAUUUGGCUAGUGGAUCAUAUUAUAAAGGUUUCGACCAGCGGUAGAAUGUGAAACGAAGUUAAAAGCACAGUAUAUUUUAGACUAAAGGGAAUACAAAUAAUUUGCAAACUAGUCGAACAAAUGCUAAACUGGGGUAUCCAAAACCUAAUCCUGAUUCAUGCUUGGAAGGUUGCUGUCAAGGUAAAUCUCUUUACUCAGGUAGUUGAUGGAAUAUUUUAGAGCAAUGAAACACCUACAUGCGGUUUUAUUGAUAUCUUAGGCAUAUUCUGAUACCAAGAGAGCGCAUUUGGAGGUGUUCUGGAAGAAAAACCUAUAUGGUGUAUGUACUGAUAGUGUGAAAGACAUGAGGAACAACUCUGCGAACUACCUAUGGGGAGGAUAGGAAGCUUCCAGCAUGAGUAAGUCUUCAGCAAGGGCUAGGCUUUGACUGCUGACCUUAUGAAAGUUACUUUUGUUGUUAAGUAUCUGAUAACAUGGGAGGUCCCUGAGUGCAUGUUAAUCAAAAGGUUCAGGAUUAUUUGAUGAAGUUUAAUUUUUUAAUUAUUUAAGUAUAGGAAUAGAUGUUUCAAUGUUAGGCGAACUCAGGAUUUAGUAAUGUGUUUGAACUCAAACAUACACGUGAUCUUGAGAGAGCCUGAAUGAUUUCUAAAACAAUGCUGAAGGAUGUGGAUAUAGAAAAGAAUUUCUAUAUUAUUACGAAGGGCAAUAUUAAUGAAGUUUAAAUGGUAUUUUGGAUCUUUAUGAUCAUUGGAAUCAUCGAGGAAAAGGAAACUUGUCAAGUUAUGGAAAUGAAUGGUCUUCAACAAGAAAUUGUGCGAUGAAGAUGUUGAGACUGAUGUGUGGUACCAGGAUGUAUAAAGAGAAAUGAAUCUUGCACUAGGUUAUAGGAAGAAGCUUGUGAGUAGCACCAAUAGAGGAUAAAGUGAUGAGUGGCUAUUUUUGCCAUGUGAAUUGUAGGAUAAAGAUGAUCGCAGUUAGUAGGUGCUGGAUUGAAGGGACAGCAUAGAUGAAAAGGACAGACCAUAUUUGUGCAGGCAUGACCAGGAAAAUUGAAGAUUUUAGUUGAGCUGUUUUGUGUUUAUGCUCUGCCCAUGUCUUGAGUUCAUGGACUCUUUUCCAGUUUCAAAUAAUUACGUGAUAUGCAAACUGAGAUUUCGUUAAGUUACCCAGCUUUGGGCAAAAUCGUGGAAUUGUACUGGUGGAGUAGCUGACUCGCACACUUGAGUUCUUCUCCACAGAUGUUAUUCAGUCCCAUGGGCGGUGAACUUUCCCUACGAAAAAAACAUUUUGCCUACUUCCAGCAAAUAGAGAGAAGAAACUUGAAGGUGUAAUAUCAGUUGACCAUCUUACAAAAGCACAUAAAGUUGAACUAUAUGGUGUAGUUAGUCUUCAUUUAUUAUUCUGACCAUUGAAAUGACAUCGAAGAUAGUCCCAUCACUGAGUAUCACUUCUGCCCAAAACAUUUUUGCAGAAAUCUAUUAAGCAACUCAUUUGAGCUUUGUUUUGUUAUGUUUUGUUGGUAUUUGAUUCCAUGUAAGUGAAGACAUUGAAUGUGUCUUAUCCUUCCCAGUAGUAGUUUUCGGUAGACGUGGAAAAAUAACUGGGUGCUGAUAAUCUCGCCUGUGGGAUAUUUGAAGUUAUAAUCUUAAAUCUUAAAAUGUUAAGGGAAUUGACUUUAAUCACAACAUAUGAUUGUUGAAAGAUUUAACUCUUAUGACCUCUUAAAAGCAAUAAAAAAUGUCUAGAUGCAAAGAUGGAAGUAAUUGCAUUGAUUACUCUAACAUUUUAGUUAAUUUCUAGUUUAAUUGAAUCAUAAUGACAUUGUGUUGGCUGUAUGUACAUCAGGGAACAUUGAGAGAGUGAUUUUUACCUAGGCCAAACACCUAUACAUGCCACCUGUCUUUUGUUUUUUUUCUUUAGUCAUCUGAUAUAGUAUUAUCAGACCAUUAGAUAUCAAACAUGCAUGGAAUAUUAGAUUUAAGUCAUGUCUGUGCUAUACAGCAGCAUAAAUUAUUAUCCUGGAGGAGCUUGUCAAAAGAAAAGUCCUCAUGAUUUUUUGAGAUCACAUGCGCCAGCUUAUAAUGUCUGACUGUCUUGUUUGAUUGAAAUCACCUUUUUUACCUUUGGUGGGUAACAGUUUGACUAAGGCAUGGUUAAAUUACUUGCUGAAAUCUAUGUUCCCCAUUGGGCAGGUACUUGAAGGCAGUAAGAUCUCGUUAAAAGCAUUUGGAGCAGUCAUCAUAGGGUUGUUUUCGAAAUCUUUGAGCUAUAUCAUCUAGCAGCUGGAGUAGGACAAACCUAUGAACGGUUUUGCAUAUUUUGAUAAACUUUGAAUUUUCCCAAUUCUUGUGGUUGAUUAACUAUAAUUUUUUGGUAAACCGCUGAGGAUAAAAUCGCAUUGAUGUUCAUCAUGCCACUGGGACUCUCAAUGCAUGUCAUGGAUUCUGUCUGCUUUUGUUUCAUGUGGUACUAUGCAAUUGGCACUGUGCAUGUUUGAAUUUGUGGUUGGGUCCUUGAAAUGCAAUGUCAAGCGCAACUGUUGAGAUCCAGAGACUAAUGUAGGUUGAUAUGCAGAUCAGGUUACUUUAUGUUAUUGUAUUUCUGAAAUCUAACUAGCAAAUAGGCACGUCUAAAAUAAAUGAAGAUGGCAAAAAAAGAGAUUGCUUGAUAGUUCCCAACUCAUAUGCCCCAAAAGAUAACAUGGUUUUGUUUCCAGGAAAGGUUCCUCUAGAGAAAGUAGGAUGCUACUUCCCCGCAUCCACCUUUAUCAAAGAUUAACACAGCAAAGUAACAUUUUCCAUCAUACUCGGAAGAUCUAGAAGGUCAUUCUCCAUUUUACAGUGAGCUCGAACAGAAACCUUUCAUCCAAGAUUCAGGAAUAUGCAACUCGCUAUCCGUAUCUAUUAAGCCUAUCAUAUCUAUUACUACUUGGACCCUUAAGGUCAGCAAUUUCAGAACUGAGAGCUGAUAUAGGGGUAAGAGAUAUUGAUUAGGAACGGAAUCUCAAUGGAUAUAAGCUUGGUCUGGCUCUAAACGUAUCGAUCGUUUGUUCGUUUAUUGUCUAUAUGCGAAACCUAUUUGGAGUACUCUCAGCGUGUACAUGAUCAAAGGCAGGCCUUCCUCUUUAUUUUCAUCUUCGGCAUAAUGCUAAAGGAAGAGGAACUAGCUUGAAGAGGAGAGCAUGGAACUAGCUUGAAGAGGAGAGCAUGGAUUUCCCAAACAGACUCGAAGGAAAAUCCAACAGGAUUGAGUUAGAUUUUUUCCGUUAGAUAAUGGAUUACACAGCCUAUUUAAAUAAGAUCCAUAUCAACCCAACCCCUCUCUAGCACAAAUCUUAUGAGAGAAUAAAAAGAAAAAUCUCAAUAUAUUUAUUUUUUUUAUCUUGUAGUCCAAUAGGCGGAUAGCUGAAAUUUAGGCUAAGAUUAGGAUGAGUCUUUAUAAAAAAAUAAUUGAGCAGGCUAGGCUAAUUAAUAGUCCAGUUUCUAUAAAAAAUUUAGAUCAAUACUGCUGAAUUUUUCAAACAAAACAUAAGUUGUUUAAAGUUUAGUUCCCGAUCCUGCUACACACUUAUACCUAGCUCCAUACAUUGAUAAUGUAGUUAUGUGCAGAAACAAUAUAAUUGUAUACAGAACUAGUAUAAUUGUAUGCAAUAUAAAUGUAUGUCUGCAUGAAAACUCCAUAUAAAUACAUGCAGGACUAGAAAAUUAAAUAUUAGGAGGACCGGGUAUAAAACGAUAACAGCAAUUUUAAGAGUAGUCCGUUCUUAGUUCUUACGGUCUUUUAGGGAGAUAAAUUGAUGGUCACGCUGUGAUCUUAAAAUGGGGGUCCCACCUUCCCCUCUCACGCAUGCACAAAGAAACGCACUCCGUGGAAGCCCAGGACUCCGACCCCUAAAACCCCGAGGCCUAAACCCUAAACGAUCCGCUGUUCCCCGAUGCCUCGCCUCCCAAUCCUUGCCUCCCCGAAACCCCUCAUUCCCCGCCUCCUCGCGGCGGCGCACGUCCGCUUCGCUCACCGGCGGGCCGCGAAGCCGCCGCCGCCCCCGCCGCCGCCCACCCCUCCUCGGCCGCCGCAGAAGCCCGUGCCCUUCACUGUCCAUGGCGUCACCUGGCACGACCCCUACAGCUGGAUGUCCAACCUCUCCGACAACGUCGCGAUGCGCCACAUGGACGUGUACAUCGAGCAGGAGGAGAAGUACACGGAGGCCGUCAUGGUCGCCGCCGGCGCCGACCGCCUACAGCGUAAGCUCCAGAUAGAGAUGGCCCCGAGAAUGGCCUCCGAUCUCUGCACUCCGCCCGUCCGGUGGGGCCCCUGGCUCUACUACCGCCGGGUGGAGGAGGGGAAGCCGUACCCGGUGCUGUGCCGGAGGUUGGCCAGCCUUCACGAGGAGUUCAUCUCUUACAAUGAGCCUUCGGCGGGGUUCGAUUACAACUCCGGGAAAAGGAUCGAGCAAAAGCUGCUCGAUUAUAAUCAAGAAGCUGAGCGAUUCGGAGGUAAAAAUGUUGCCUUUUUCCCCUCUCCACCUAUGCUCUGCUCUUCUUCUUUAUGUCCAUCAUUAUUUUUGCUAGCUGAAAUAUCUCUCUCUUUUCAUUUCUUUUUACCUCUUACUUAUUAGCUGUUUUUAGAGGAAAUUCUAUAAUUCAACGAACAAUAAAAUUCGAAGCAGAAAUAGAAUGACUAAAAACGAAGAAUUCUUUUAGUCAGACAUUGUUGGGUAAUUUAAGCAAGGUUGAUAUUCUAGUACUAAAAUAUUUCAGAGCAUGUAUAUGACGUCUACAAUGCUGAUAUACAGGAUAACAGAGUUGAAAUGGCAUGGUUGACGUUCUGGGCUCGUACUUUUUUUUUUUUGCAUAUAACAGUACACUGUGCUUCUGAACUAUGGUUAAUUGCUUUGAAAGUUUUAUUUGCCACUAUAUCAUAUAGCUAACAUGGUGAAGUUCAUUAAAUUUUCUUUUCCCAUGACAAUUAUACUCCACUGACACGAAUUUUUUAUGUGGAAUUCUUCUCCUCUUUAGGAACACGGUAUCUUCUUCCGUUUGUAUAUUUAACAUGAGUCAUUUUCCAAUUCCAUUUUUUGGGAAUGUUAUUAAUGCUAUUUUUUUCUUCAAAUAUCUUCAAGUUAGGGAGGCAUGAUACAGAAUUAUCAACCUGAAUACCAUAAGUUGCUACCUAAUUAGAUGCGCAUGAUACCAGAAUUAGUAACCAUUGGAGUCUUAGGGUGACUGUAUUUGAUGCUACAGUUUAAUUCAAUUGUAUACAUAGCUAAAAUUAUCUACCUUUAUGCCAUUUAUUUUUUUGAUCGCUUUGUCAAUCAUUCUGCACUUUUGCCUCUCUCUAGCAUACAUACUUGAUGAUUGCAAACCUUUUUGAAUGAUCUCAAAACUUCCAUUUACUUAUUAUGAAUCCCUUUCCUUAUUUUCCUGAUCAUUAUACACAAAUAUGUGCACAUCCUUGUUAGGGCCGCUCCUAAUUAAGACAGCCAAAUGUAACCGUUCAAUUAAAAUGAUGAUACGUAUCAUUCAGCCUUUUUUGAAUCUAUGGAGCCAUAACGGUGCUUUGCAGAAAGAUAUCAAGGUAAAUAAAGAGUAGUGUGACAGAUGAAGUUCAGAACCCUUAGUGUGCCAUGCAACUGAUCAAAACGUAAUACUCCAGAGAUGAGCAAAUGAUGUCUAAGAAAAAUGAUAAUAUAUUUUGUCGCCCUCAAUAUGCUCCGUUACCUGAAUUCUUCAGUUUAGCCUUAAUCACCCGCACCCGACACUUGAACAUAGACAUCAGUAUAAUACUCAAUUGCAGGUCACUUAGAUAUUGGAAGGGUUUGAAGCUUGGACAUACACCCAUACCCGACACACUUACCCUAGUCUAUGUAACACAGCUCAUAUGAUCUUUUAAUAAACUAAAUGAAGUUAGUAUAAGUGGAAUUAAUUUAUCAAGGUGGUAAAUUAAAUAUCUCAAACUCUCAAAACUCUGAAUGGAUGCCCUUUUUCACACCACAAACUCUGAGGCAAUAAAUCUCUACUUCUCUAGGAUGGUCAGAAUAUUAGAUACAUGCUUCUAAAGUAAAAGAAAAUAAAGAGAUAUCUUGAAUUUAUUGUGAUUAAUAUGGUGCUGUUGUUGAAAUCAAUUGAGUGGUUGGUAGAGAGGGCAUUUCCAAGUUGCAGACUCUUACAUAGAUCUUUCUUUUUUUCUUUUAUUUAAAACCAAAAGGUCUUAAUGAUCCUUCUUGACACAAGAUUUGAUAAGAUGAUAGCUGAAUAGUGGCUUGAGACGUAGCUUUGGUUACUAUUGUUUGCGUCAAAGACAUGGAUGAUAUGAAGGCUUUAACUUGUUUGGGAAAUUUGAUCAUACCGUAGAACUUCUCAUAACCGUGGCACAGAACUCUAUAAAUUAACUGAAUCCUGACAAAGUAGUUGACUGUCUGCAGUGAACCAUUGUUAGAAUUUAGAAUACAAUGGUUUAGCUUGCAACCUGAAAUUGAUGAGGGUAUAGACGAUUUGGUUAACUGGUGGAGAUUGGCAAUGGAUGAGCUAUGCUCUCACAAAAUGCUUAAGAGAGCUCAUAUACCAUGUUACUUGGAGAGCUUACAAUCGUGAGAGGAAUUUGAUGAUUCAUUUCACUUAGGAAGAUUGGUGAUCAGAUGAUCCGUUAGCCUGGCAAAUGCCUAGGAAGAGCUCAUACACGAUUCUACAUGAGAGCAAAAGCUGAAGAGAUGUGUAAGUGCAUGUGACCCACUAUGGUGGGCACUGGUCAAUAUCCUUAUACAUGUCAAUAUAAAGUGGUAUGAUCUCCACUAUGGUAAGCAUAAAUGAACAGAAAGAGUGAAUAAUUUGUGUAUAAUUUUUAUGAUACAACAUGUAUACACCAAAGCUUCCAUUUGUAAAUUUUUGCAGUAUCUUUUUAUUGGCUGUCUAAGCAAGCAACUACCUUGGUGGUUGACCUUCUUGACAUAUAACUGGAUCACUUUCAAUUAGAGCUGUUGCUAGUCUUAGUCUUGUUUCAUGUAACCUCUACAAUAAUUUUAUGUUGCUCAUAUGCCUAUUGUGCAAACACUCAUUUUUUUUUUGCAUAUUUUACAUUUAUUUUGGCGUGACCAUCCAUUGAGUCAGCUAGUAGACUAUCACAUCCCGUUGCAUAGUGAUAUUUGGUUAAAGAUUGUAUUAUAAAUUUUCAGGUGCCUCAUGUUGUCAUUUCGUUGUCCUUAUCUUUUAUUAGUCACAAGGCCUUGCUAUGUGAGACAUGAGUUUUCUUGUUUGUUAGUAUUGCUUUAUACACAUUCGGUAUUUUUGUUUGGCCAACAUACAUAGCAUAACUAAGUUGCUAAGCUAGCCAUUUUAUGAAGCAUAGCAUUUAUUAUUUCAAGAAUAUGCCUGUCAAGAAAGUACAUAUGUUAUACCUUUUUUGUUUGUUCAAUUAACAGGUUACUCUUAUGAAGAAUUAUCUGAAGUGUCCCCAGACCAUCGUUUUCUUGCAUAUACUAUGUAUGACAAAGAUAAAGACUCCUUCACCUUAUCUGUUAGGGAUUUGACUACGGGUUCACUUUGUGACAAACCUCGAGCUGAUCGAGUAGCAAAUUUGUCAUGGGCAAUGAAUGGCAAGGCAUUGCUUUACACGGUCACAAACAAUGAGAAAAGACCGUACCGGUUAGUACAUUAAUGUUUUAAAAUUCUUGCAAAUUGCUUUCUUUUUCCGUGCUGUAAUUGAAUGUUUCUUUUCCUUAGGAUCUUUUGUAGCAUUCUUGGAUCUGGUAAGGAUGAUGUUCUCAUUCUGGAAGAACCUGGUGAGGAUGUAUAUGUAAACAUUAGAAAUACCAAGGACUUUCAGUUUGUAACUGUAAAUACCUUUUCUACUACUUAUUCAAAGGUAUCACCCAAAACAAACACUCUAAUGCAUUAAUUUCACUAUCAAAAUUUCCUGGUCCCAUCAAGUUUCUUUUCCCUUUUUUUGUAGGUAUACUUGAUAAAUGCAGCUGAUCCCUUGUCUGGUAUGACACUAGUCUGGGAAUGUGAACCUCAUGUUCAUUGUGUUAUUGAGCAUCAUCGAGGAUGCAUAUAUUUAUUUACAAAUGCUGCAAGAGGAGGCGUACCCGUUGAUUCACAUUAUCUGCUCCGUCGUGUUGCUGAAGCUUCUGGUUCAAAGAAUUGGGAGGUUCGCAAGAUGCAUGUGUUCAUUUAGACCGCCAUUGACAAUAUUUAAGGCCAUUCAAAUGGAUUUUAUACAAAUAACAUACCCUCACAAUGUAGGGAGCAUAAGAAAAAAAACAAUGUUAAAUUUCAAAAAUAACAUCGAAAUAAAAUAAUAAUUAGAAAUAAGUGUUCAGCUAUUGAUGUAUAAAAUAUUAUUUAAUAAAAGUAAAAAAAUUGACAUAACAACAAAAAUACUAACUAUUCUAAUUAUAUGAAAGCUUUGAAUAUAUAAGCCUAUAGCAUAUCUUUUCUUCAAGAAAAAAGCCAAUAUGUGCUAUUUGUUGAGAUAUGAUAAAAAAUAAAAUAGUUAAUAAGUAUAAUAUCAUAAUUAAAAAGAUCCAAGAUGCUAAUUAAAGGGCAACAAAAUCAAUAAAUUACUUAAAUACAUUUAAUAAAAUUAAAAUAAAAUGGAAGAAAACAUAGAAAAAAAAUAGAUAACAAAAAAUAAGUUCCAAAUCUGACCUCGAUCUGACUUGACUUAAACCAAUCCCAAAUUACGUUCAAACAGGAAUGAGGUGUAGGUUGAUGUCAGAGGAAUGCUGAAUUAGAACCUUUCCUUUUUCAAGUGGUAGCAGUUUGGCGAAAAAGAUAUUAAACUGGCAAACAGACAGUGUUCUCAAGCUCUAGUGUGUUUCACAUAGACCCUGAGUGAUACGCUUCCUAUCCCUCUUUAGAGGACGCAAGGAAAUAAAUUACCCAAGACAAUCAAAAUUGUAGGGAACAGAAUGAUAAGAGAGAAUAGUAUAUGCAAAUAACAAAAGAAAUAAUUUUCAAGAUAAAGACUGCAUUUAAGUAAUUAACCUAAAAACCUAGAAUUAUAAGCAGUCGGAUUGCUAAAUACUUAAAUUUGUAAGUUUUUUUAGUAUUCACGACUCAUGCUAGCCAGGUUUCGCUCAUGUUUUGACCUAGCUAUAACUCGAGAUACUAUGAGGAGUAUGUAUAUACCAUAAUGUAUCAUCCUCCUAGCAGGUGUCGUAUUCAUGAUGGAGUUCAAUAAUUUAUUUAGUUUUACUAACUUGGCCUUAUGCUUUCUCUAGUUCUAUUUGGUAUAACAUAUCUGAUUUUGUUAGAUGAUUCAUGAUCUGCAAACAUUGGCAAAUUAAUUUCUUAUUUGGAAUCAUAGUCAUGACUUUAUGAAAUGUAGAAGAAGCCAGGCUUUUCCUUUCCUUUUUCUUUUUUUCAUAAUUUAUGCUACUUUCAUAUGCACAUUUUCCUGUUACUUUAUUGUGUAUACAUUCUUUUGGUCUACAAGAAAGUUUUACCUAUGAGUAACAGAUUUAUAAUCUUUUCAUUUUCCUUAAUUUUUGUUUUAUGACUGUUUUCCUACUAUAUUCUUUCUCUCCUUCUCUAAUUAUUGUAUAAUCUAAAAUCUUUUUGGCUGAGACUCAGAUUUUGUUAUUUAUUUCUAUAUGUUUUGGAUCAUCAAGAGUGCUUUAAACCUAAUUGAUCUUCAUAUAUGUUAGCUACUGUGGUGAGUUUUACUUAUUUGUGGAGUAGAAAACUAUGGAGUGUUACCCUUACAUGGAUCAAGUUUUUAUUGUCUAUUUACAUGUCUUGUGGGUGAGGUUGUCUUCAAUAAGGUGUCCUACUGAUUGGCUUUUGUUAGCUAUUCUUUCAACUAUGAUAGGAUCUGUGAUGUUGUUGCAAUAACUGGCUUCCUGUGUUAAGGUCUUGUGAGGGCUUAUCAACUGCAACUUAGCUGAAAGCUGACACAAAUUUAAUUGGAUAAAGUGUCAGUGAUUUGGUUUAGAAUAUGUUAGCUGCAGAUUUGUUGGUUCUACCAUCAAAUUUCAGUUCGACUAUCAAGUACAAAACAACUCCUAUAUGUAGCAUAUGUGCAUUCAUCAUGUCAGAUGACCUAUGUGCAUUUGUUUCUCUUCAUAUCUGCCUAUUACUCUAUUGAUGCCUGUUAGGCUGCCUUGGAUAAGACUUGUUAUUUAUGCAGUCAAUUUCUCAUUGAGGAACUCUUAUUGUUACUGAAAUAUGGAUGUGAUAUUUUUUAUUGAAAGCAAAAUAGACUGACUGUAUUCGAUUAUCUGAGAAACAAAGUCUGCUACCUUCUGCAGACAAACAUGAUUCUGUCAGCUAUUAAGAGGCUAUCUUCAUUUAAUAAUAUUCAAUAGAGCACGAAGCUGCAUUUUACUUCCACAUCUAGUUUAUAACUUGAUCUAACAAAAUACAAGCUUUCAGAAUAUCUAUCUGGCCAGGUUAUUUCAUAUCAGACUUUAACCAUAGAAGCUUAUAAAUCUUCUUCUUCUUCAGUAAUUUGUUCAUUUUGUUCAAUGUCUUAAUAACAGAGGCAUCUAAUUGGCUGUCAAGCAAUAUAACUUGUAUAAGUAAUAUAUGUGGCAUUGGAGAGAGGCUUCUUUAUUGCUUCACUGUAACCUUUAUUUUAAACUUUGGGAAAUCAAUUGUCAUGCCUGAUCUGUAUUUUCAUGUCUUUUAGAUCUUGUUUUGAUUCAACAUGAAUUUCUGAUAAUAGAUCUCGCGCAACUCCUUUUUAUAUUAGUUUUUCUUUUUUAAAAGAAAAUUCCAUGUUUUAUCAUUUUGGAACUUGUUUUACUUUCGACUCACAUAUCUUUGUGGUUCUUUUGUGUGUUCAGAGUAUACUUCUCGAGGAUCCAGGUACUACCAUAGAGGAUGUCGAUUUUUGUGACACCCAUAUGGUGCUUAUUCUAAAGGAGGGCAAAACAUUCAGAAUUUGCUCCAUUCCGCUACCUUUGCCUAUGGAUGGUAAAGUAAGCUAUUCUUACUAUGGUUCUUAUAAUUUUUUAGUGUGCAUAUUUGGCUAGCUCAGAGACCCAUUCUUCUAUUUUUCAUUUUAUCGAUCUUUUAAAAUAUGUCGGCAGUGGAAUAAUAUUGGUUAAAUAUAAGUUUGUUAAUUCUCAAAGAUCAUAUCUGUCAUGUGAGAUGUCUAAUCAUACAUUUCAAAUGGAACUUGGGUUGUUGAACUUGAUCUCUUCUUCAUGUGCCAUGGCUCAUGGGGCAGUUAUUAAUUCAUCUGUUUAAUAUAUUGCCACAAGGCACAUGUUAUAUAAUUUACAGAAUCAUAAGAUACGCCUGUCUGGAAGCCAAGAGAAAAAAAGAUGAUAUUUCUAAUUUUAUGUUUGUUUAUAUUGAUUUCCUCUUUUUACCAAAAAUACUGAUGCGAUCUGAUCCAACAGUUACAAUAAAUUUGACUGGAGGACAUCAUGAAUUCAUUGUAACAGGACUGAAGUUCCUACCUUUAGAAUCAAGGGCUGAUGGAUCAUUUAGAAGACUUACAAAUGUUAAAAACAUCACCCACAACUUCUAUUGGAAUUUCGUGCUUUGUUCUGACUUGCACUACAUAAUCUUCUACUUAAAUGAAUAGCUGUUCUUAAAUGCUAAUGUUUCCAAUUGUGAUGCUGUUAGCUUGUAGCAUCUUGUCCUGGUUCUUCCAAUGCCAUUCGCCACCUGAACUUUUUGGAUUUGUUGCUAUGUAAGUGAUUUUAUGUAGAUUAUAAAUAAAGCAUGUGUCAAAGAGAUAUUUUGUAUAUGUGUUCAAGAUUAGAAUUGAACCAUACCUGGAUUUGAGAUGACACUCGUAUAAUCCUACAUUCUCUAACAUUGGCAGUUGGGUAGGUCAUUCUUCUUGUGGGUUCAAAUUUUUUGGUACUUGUUACAAUAAUGAUGUGAAUUAUAUGAUUAAUGUGAUAGAUGUCAAAUAUGUAAGUCGGGCAUGUCAAGUUUACAAAAUGCACACCUGGAGACGUGUGUACAUGUGCGCAUGGGGCAGGGCUGUUGUUUGCCUAUUGGCAUAUGCAUGUAUGCAUGUAUAUGUGCAAUAUUGUGUUGAACCAAAUUAAUUAUUUAUAUAAAAUUAUUGCCUUAUUUUCAUAUUAUAGGACUCAAACAUCGUGAAACAAACACUACUACACACUUGGGAUUAGGGGUGUGCAAAAACCGGCCAAGUCACGGACUCAACCCGAAUUGGUCUCUUCGGUUUGUUUAUAUUGUUUUUUUUAAAUUCGAUCUGAUGUAGGUUUGAGAAAGGCUUAUCGGAAAAUUUGGUUCAAUUUCAGUUUAAGUUUUUCAAAAAAUUGAUUCAAACCGACCUAACCAACCCAUAUGUAUAUAUAAAUAUAUAUUCAAACCAACUCGAUCUGACCUGACCCAUAUGUAUAUAUGUAAAUAUAUAUAUUCAAACCGACCCGAACCAUAUGUCUGUAUAUAUAUUUCAAUUUUUUUCUUGUAUUUUUUCUUAUGUAAAUGGAACUUGUAUGUUUAAACUUAGACCAGCCCAUGUAGCCCAGCCCAUUGAACAUCAACCCUAUAUGGUAUGGAAUUUCUAUGUUUAGACUUAGCCCAGUCCAUUUAGCCCAACCCAUUGAACGUCAACCUAAUAAACAAAACUGAACCGAACUGAAUUUGUUUCAAGCGGUUCUUGUAGGUAGUCGGUUCGGUUUCAGGUUCGAUUUUAGAAAACCAAUUUAAAUCAGUUUGGUUUCGGGUUUAUCUUCAAACCACCUGACCUGGUCCAUGCAGACCCCUACUCUGGGAUGUGAAAUGGCUUUUCCAAGAGCGUAGGUUGCUACUCUAUUUACUGCAGCACACUUACAGCACUUUUCCUACAUAAUUAAGUGCAUAUUUGAGCUUAUCCAUUUUGAGCAUCUCUUUUCUUUUUCUCCUGUUCAUCUUUUUUUAUUUAGUUUUCUUUUUGUUUUCAGUUGUUAGUUGCCUGACAAAUCAUGUACAUAUGGGCAUGUUUUCAGCACAACAUUCUUGGAUAUGUGGUUAUUUGGUUCCUUCUGGAAUUUUAUGUUAUUACACCAUUAUACCAUUCGGUGACUUAAUUGUCAUGGUGUUUUCUGAUCUUAGCUUUUUGACAUGGAUAAUGCUUUAAAAUAAUUUGAUCAUGUUUUCUUUAUAGACUGCUGUUGAUCUGUCUUACUAAUUUUGUUCCAUCUAUAUUUUUAGCUGGUUCCGCUAUUGCUUGGGUAUCUGAUUUGAGCACAUAGCAGAACAUGACCUCUGCUAACCAGAUAAGAAAAUGGUGACAUGUAACAAAGGCCAAAAUGAGAGGUAACCCAACGGUUGCCCACUAUUAAAACACACAGACUUAGUUCCCUUUCUUGAAUCACAAGGAGCCUGAAACAUAUUUUUACUGAACCCACUAAAGACCCAAGCUAAAGAGACUUGGCGACUGAACAAGGUCUUGACCACCGUCUCCUGAAAUGGUAGCAGAAACAUACCGGUCGCCACUGACGAAUCAAGGUGGUCCAACUGGUAUAACCAGGCUGGGAGAGCAGUUUGAUUAAAUGUCAUGUCAGUGGGAAUUUGCGGCAGAACCUUCAUACACCAGUCAUGAGGCAGCCCUAUUAAAACAUGUUUAAAGCCGUUCGGAAUAGCGAAUAUGCACAGUUUACCUGCUCCCUCCUGUGUCAAGCCUAACUGUCCCAAGGGGAACUGAGUAGAAAUCAGUUCACCCAAGUUUGGAUCACCCUCAUUUAACAUACCGAGGCAGCAUCACAGGCUAAGCUCCCUCGGUUGCAGCUUGAGGAAAACCUCGUACAGCAAGGUGUCUAAGAAUGCUCACUUUCUUCUCUGCCACUUGCAGUUUCGGGUGGUCAACACCCUCUACAUAAAUAGUGUAUGGACUUGCGAAUACAUGGAAAAGGGGAUUCAUAGAGGAAAGGAUUACUUUCGUCCAAAUGGUGAAACCACUUGGUCAUAGCUAACACUCUUUUGUCAGAACCUGGGUACUGGGUCCUGAUGAUACAAGUUAUGACAGCGCACAAGAAACUACCACAAGGCAAUAGCAUAUAGCUCCCAUUGGCACCUGCCAAAGGGGACCUGGCCUGCAAGGACACCACACCUUCAAGAUGCUGUGCCAGCUGACCAAAGAUGUAACACCUUCAAGACCCCUCAUUGUGUUGAAGCUGGAUGUCAUCCUGUAGCAGAAGCCAAUCUGCUACUGCUAGGCUUUACUGAAAUCUCGUAGUAUGGUGGGAAAGAUCACCAGAUGCAGUAAAGUCCUUGAUACAAUGCUUGCAAGAUAGCUCCUGGUGGGGACCUACUUCUGCAUUCUUUUGAGCAGCCAAUACCUAAUCUAUUAGAAAGCCUUCUCAGUGUUUUGUGAUGUAAGCUACUUUAUCUGAAUAAUAGAUUAAUAAUCUGGUCAUAUAUAUAGAUUGUUACAGGAUAUCUAAUGCAUAUUGGUAAUAUAUUAAAUCAAAUUUUAACUUAUUCAUAUAAUGAGUAAUUCCAGAAGAGGCUUCUUUGGGAAGUAAAAAUCUUCACUGUAUAAAGCCUUUUGAGGUGAUAAUCUAUGAAUUUAAGCAGUGAGUAAUGAAUUGUAUUGGAGGAUUCAAGCUUUUUUCAUUGCUUAUUUUUCCUGUUUAUCAUCUUUUACUCUCCUUUCAGUUAAAUUGGUGGCCAACUUUUUUUUUCUUUUUCUAUUUUCCCAGGUGGUACCGUACUAUUACAUGCUUAAUAACUACUAGCACUAAUAUUUCAGUGACUCAAUCUGGCAUUCUUGCUGGCAGGAACCAGUGCAUCUAGCAGCCCUUUGUCCAUGCUACUUACCUCUUCCAAAGCAUGUCUGUCAGAUCUCACCUGGACCCAAUUAUGACUACUAUUCGUCAACAAUGCGAUUCAUAAUAUCCUCACCUGUGGUAUGAAGAUUAUUCAUAUCUAUGAUCUGAGAUUUUGUGCUACUAACAACCACAAAAUAAAUAAAUAAAUCUUCAUGAUGAUACCAUGUGAAAUCUGCAGCUUGGAUUUUCCCUUUCUGAAAUAUCUGUUGCAUUAACAUGCCAGUACCUUUAUAGAACAAUCAUUCUAUGUUUCAUGAAUUUAGUUAUUGCAUCUUUUCAUAUAGAUACUCUCUUACACACUUUCUUUAACUAGCCAUCGGCAAGUGAAAUGCAUGUGAAAGAGAAGAAAUAUGGAGUGGACCAAGAUGGGCUUGGUAGAAGAGGAUUAGAUGGGCAGGGCUUGGAGAAGUAGAUACCAGUUUUAAAAAGGCUAGAACACCAUGCAUGGAGUUCGGUUCCUGGAGUUGAACUUCUCUCUUUUCUUGAAAACAAAAACUUGAAGAAGAACUCCAGCUCAUGUUGAAACUCUAGAAGUCCGGCUACAAAAGGACAUGCUGCCACAAACCAAGAAGUCCAGACCUGUAGACUUCUCUCAUCGAAAUAGUAGAGAUGUAUUAACCAGUAAAUAAUGUUGUUUUAUACUUAAUUGGAUUGUGUGUUUCUUUGAGUAACUAUGCUGUGAUGUCAUAAUAGACAUGUUUAGAAAUUAGCUUCUCUGAUUGUCAUGUUUGAUUUUUUGAGAUCUUGCAUUUUGCUCAUAUUUUUGUUGGACCUCAAAGGCUUGAGACUUAUAUCUUUCUUUAUAAAGCUGUGAUGUUAGAAAUCAAUACAUUUAGCUUCCUUUCUAUGCCCUAAAGGAAGGCUUUGGCCAGUCACAAAUAGGAAAAAAUGGGGGAGUAUGUUGAAACUGGUUUUCUUUGUACAUCAACUUCUAUCAUAUAUUGAAAUGUUCUUGUGCCCUCAAACAUACCAGGAGAUGUUCCGGUGGCCUUGACCUGCUUAUUCUGUUGCAUGAAACACCAGCUUGAUCUGUUAGCUUGGUAGCACCAAAUUCUGGUUUCCCUACUUUAGAUCAAAUUCCUGUGCUAUUUUUUUCCCUUCUCAGUUUUCAAGGUACUCACUCAGCACAAGAUUUUGCACGUUAUAGGUGGUUGCUUUUCAUGACGCAAGAUUUUUUUUUGCAUGCAGCUUAAAUGCCAGUAUACUUUAUUAGCAAUAUGAAAUGCAUGUUUAUUUUAUUUGGUAGUUCAUUGUAAUUUGUAAAAAAAAAUUGCAGAUGCCUGAUGCUGUUGUUGAUUAUAACUUAUCAGACGGGAAGUGGUGCAUAGUACAGCAACAGAACAUGCUGCAUGAGCGAACAAGAACAUUAUACGGCACUGCUUCUGCUGCCAACAAUAUAAACAAAUCUUCGUUUUCACAGAGCUUUGGCACCAGACAUGAAGUCGAUGGUCUGGAUAAUAUGUGGAAUGAGCUUUCUGAGUUUUAUGCUUGUGAAUACUAUGACGUUUCUUCAAAUGAUGGAGUUUUGGUCCCCUUGACUAUUGUAUACUCAAGAAAGCACAAGCAAGAAGGCAAUCCAGGUUUACUUCAUGGGCAUGGCGCGUAUGGUGAACUACUAGACAAGCGUUGGCGAAGUGAGUUAAAAAGCCUUCUUGACCGGGGUUGGAUCAUUGCAUAUGCUGAUGUCAGGUUUGUUUGCCUAUACACCCAUCUGAAAUUCUUUUUGCUCUAUCUGUUCUUAGUUGCUCUAUGUGCUAUAACAUUAUUCUAUGUAUGCUAAAGACAUGAGGAAGUCAUGUUUGCAUGGUGACUACAACUAGGUGUCCAAGUUUUUCGGCAUUGUUAUUUAAAACUAGGUCCAAAUUUUAAACUAGUAUAUUAGAUAUUCUGUUAAAUGAUGUUCAUGGAUUAAAUCAUGUGGUCACAGAGGUGGUGGUGGAGGUGGUAAGAAGUGGCACCAUGAUGGCAGACGUACUAAAAAGCAAAACUCAAUCAAUGAUUUUGUUUCAUGUGCUGAGUUUCUAGUUAACCAAGGUAUUGUGAAAGAAAAUAAACUUGCUGCUUGGGGAUAUAGUGCUGGUGGGCUUCUGGUUGCUUCAGCAAUUAAUACUCGUCCAGAUUUAUUCCGAGCUGCAGUUUUAAAGGUAUGCAUCCUGUCACAUCCGGAAAUCCAUCUCAGUUUGUUCACUUGAAAUGUAUGCUUAGCCUUUAUGAUUGUCCAGAAUUUGGUUCAAAAGAAUUCAUGAUCUUUAACGAUGUUAUUUGAUAGUCUUUCGCUGGAUAAUUUGCUGGAAACUGUCAUCAAGAAGUUUGGGAAGGUGGAAUGCAUGUCUGCAUAUUUCUGGUCGCUUAAUGAAAGAAGCUAAUUUUUGGUUUGUGAGGGUACUCCAUUUUCACAUGUCAUAUUGUGGAGUAUGUUUCCUGUUUGAUUUUCUUUCUUUUGUAUAUUAUCCUAAGGAUUCAAUGGGAUUGACUGACCCCAACCAUAAUCUUCACUCUUGGUUGGCAAUUCCUUAAAAUAUGAUGAUUAGAUAAGAUAAAUCCAAUCAUUGUUAGGGGCUCUCCCUUUUUUCUUGUAGACUUGUGAUGCUGACUUCUCUCAUUCUUUAACAUUGUUGUAACUUUUGAUAAUUAAAUUUUUACCCAUUCAUCCUUCAAACUGGACAUCAAACCUAGCCCCUGCCAUGCAGCCUCAGGUCAUUCCACCCUUUGGCCUUGCCUGAGUUGACUUCCCUAUCCUCCGCCCGCCCUUCUUCACCCAUCAAAGAAUAAGUGAAACAAGGUUUUUUCUUUCAGUCAGUGAAUGAUUUCCAUUGAAGCUGAGUUUUCAUCCAAUUUUUUUUUUCUUGCCCUUAUUUUAAGUAUAUCCCCCCCACCCCAAAAACAGAAAGUCUAUUACAGAUUAGAGCUGAGGCUUACAAUGUUAUCUGCAAUUGGACCAUCCAAGUUUUUUAAGUGGUAAAAAUAUAGGCAUUGAGCUCUCAGCUUUACACAUUCUUUUUCCAAAAAAAAUUCCUUUGCAGUGGUAAGAAGAGACUAAGUGGGGCAGUGAGAUUCUUCUGGACAUAUGUAUGCAUAUGUAAAAAAGUUUCUGCAUAUAUGCCCAUGUAGAUGACUGUGUUUGUACGUUAAAUUGCUGCAUGCAUGCUUUUAAUUUUUAUGACUUAGUUGAGUUUUAUUUCAAAUUCAUGAUUUAAAUUAGAUCUCAAAGCAUGCGUCUAGUCAAGUCAUGAACAGUUUAUCUUCUAGACAUUCAAUUCAAUGCAUUAAAUUAAGUAUUUUGAAAAACAAAGUGCUACAAAUUGCAUAUGUUAGUGAAGUUUGAUCUGAUGCUUUUCCUUAGAGGUGCCCUAAGUGCAUGGACACCUAUGGACAGAUCGCAGUAUUUAGCAAUGAAAUCUCGCAUUGCUGGUGGAUCAGUGUCUUCAAGAGCAUAUGGUUACUGAUAUCUUGAGCCACUUUGGCUGCUAUAGAGUUUUGGCUAUACUAAACUGUACUAAUUAACUCUUGCUGCUUUGCCUGAUAUGCAGCAUGAACUUGUUGCAGCUUAGUCACAUGGAUUUGUAUUUAUAGUAUGGCAUUGCCAACCACAGCCAAAAAAUUUUAGAGCCACUGAAAACAUCCUGAAUUAGUAAAGUAAAUCUAUUUUUACAUUCUUUGUGUAUCUGUGGAGGCCCCUUGACAAAGCUGCAUAACAUUACGUUUUUGAUGCAUAUCAGGUGUCAAUAUGGUAUGACAGCACAUACAUACUUUUUUCUGGUAUCUUUGAUCCCAUUUUUGUAUAUAUUUCUGUAACUUUAUUACGUAAUUUUCCUCAGGUGCCCUUUUUAGAUGUCUGCAACACACUUCUUUACCCAAUUUUACCUCUCACUCCUGUUGAUUAUGAAGAGUUUGGCUAUCCUGUGGAGCUUGAGGAUUUUCUCGCCAUCAAGAAGUAUUCACCUUAUGAUAAUAUUCAGAAGGAUGUCCUUUACCCAUCUGUAUUGGUGACAUCAUCUUUCAUUACAAGGCAAGUUUCAUCUGAAAUCUGUAUUAGAGUAUUUCAGUUAUUGUUUAAAACAAGAUUAAUAUGCUUCUUUUCACCAUCCAUCGGUAUAAAAACUUCAUUUCACGAAUCAUAGGUUCAACUGUUCAAGUUUAUUCUAAAAUAAACUUUGUAGUUUAUUGUCAUAUGUUUAGGUAAUAUACUUUUAUAAGGUGGUUUAUGUCAGAAACAACAUUAUUAAAUGUGGCUGCCUUGCAUCAUAUGGAGUAUUGCCUUGAUUGGUCAAGUGCCCUUUAAUACAGGAAUGGUACAACGUGGUUCCUAGGUGUAUAUUUUCUUCAAAAACUGCACUUUAGAUUUGUUAUAGGCAUUAAAUAGAUAAAGGAAGUAUUGGAACCAGCAAUCUUUAGUUCAAUUAGUACUUGUACAAGAUUGUAUAAGAAUUAUGUUUUACAUGAUUCUUCUAUAUCUUUGUUUACUACUUUGUUAUUAUGUCAAUGCCUAGAAGAGUACGCGAAUACUAAUGGAUCUUUGAACAAAGUGAUCAAAUUUAUUGAUUAUAAUAGCCGAUUACAUUUAAUAAUAUUUUUUGUAUUUCUUAAUAAUGCUUGUAAUUCAUGGCUUAGAUGUGAUAUUUGCAACUUAAAAUUCCAUGUUUUGAGGCCAUCCUACCCUAAAAACAUUUUCAUUGUUCUAACUUGUUAGAGGUUAUUUGCCAUUAUAUAAUUUGGGCUACAGUAAUUCCGGUAGAAUUUGAGUGUAUUUCCCAUCAGUGCAAUAUACAUGGCGGGCAUAACCAGUAGAAUUUGAGUAUAAGUCGUAUUGGUAGAAUUUCAAUUUGGAUGAUCUGUCAUAUAUUUUGUCGGCAUGGCUGCAGACAAACCUGCAUAGUUAUACUAACUAAACUAAAUACUUCCAAAUCAGUUGUAGAAAUGAUGAUAGUUAUGGUGCAUAUAUUAUGCAAUAUCUCUAUUUUUUGCAUUUUGUUUUAUACUGUUCCUCCUUUGUAUCUGUUAAAAAGUAGCAGCUUGACUUUUAGCAUCUAUUUUCUUUGUAUCCGAAUGAUAAAAUUACUUCCCUCUGAAUGUUAAGUGUUGUCAAAUCAGUUGCUGUGCGCAAAUAGACUCAUGUACAUGCACACUCUCAAACAAAAGAAAUUUAUUCUUUAAUAUGGUAGGUUUGGCUUGUGGGAAGCUGCUAAAUGGGUUGCGAAGGUACGUGAUCACACCAUAUAUGACCCACAACAUCCGAUACUGCUCAAUUUAACAACAGAUAUAGUCGAGGAAAACAAGUAUUUACAGUCCAAAGAAUUGGCAUUGGAGACUGCUUUUCUUAUCAAAAUGGUAUCAGAUAGCUAAAAUUUGAGCCAUCAUAUGCAUCUCGUAGCUAAAAGUUGGGCCAUCCGGUGCAUCUCUUGAGAGCUGGAACUUUCCAAGCAUAUGGGACAGUGAUGUUUUAUGAAAAAGUCAUCCUUUGAAGGGUAUCAUAUUGCAAUCACAAAUAAAGGGUGCUUCUGCCAGUAAGUUAUGUUUAUCAAUGGCUUGACUUUGGUGCUCCAUUCAGCCCAAAAUUGUUAUCAAAUAGAUCAGAAUUUGUUUAUCUACUUAUGAUUCGAUCUGGAAGUUGCUUUUGCAAGACUCUGGAAAGUUUCCUUCCAUUAUGAAGGUAAUUGGUUCAUCGUUGUCAUCACCACCAAACCCUUUUCUUAUCAUAUGUGACUAAAUUGGGUUAGUCCAAUGAAGGCAAUUGGCUCUCUCUGCAGCAAAUGUUGAAAUGGAUGUGAGAAGUCAACUGAACCUGCAUCAUUUGUUUAUUUAUAAACAGUAGUGACAAAGCAUUUUUUUGCAAAAACAACAAAGUUGCCCAGUGAUGCUGUUUCUCAUGUACAAUCUUAAUAAGGUUAUUCUCUUGAAGUAUGGCAGCAUGCAUUUUUCUGUAGUUUAUAGAGGGCUGACCCAGGUUUUUUAUGUAAAAUAUAUGUAAUGUAUACUCGGCCUUUGAUGUUUUAAUUGAAGAAAGAAAACAUCAAUAGGUUAUUGAAUAAUAAUUUGUGGUCAAAUGUCUAUACGGUUUGUGCGGCUGUUGUAUCUCUAAUUUUGUUUUGUUUGUUUCGUUGUCCAUGCCUUGAUAGGUCAACGUAAUUGCCAUCCAUGGUGCUGGUUGUACAGUUACAAAACUUGUGAUUUGAAGACACUCGUUCCUCAUUAUGAAAUUUCUUCAGGACUUGAUCAACUGUCCUUUUUUUCUUUUCUUUUCCAUGGACUGCUGGUGUGGCUUGUCGCAGCUGUGAUGAUGAUGGGGAUGGCCAAUUACUAGACCUUUUUAUUGUCCAAUCUUACCUUGUAUUUUUGCCCACCCACACAACUUGUUCGUUGUCGAUUCAUUAUUUUUAUAAAGCUCGCAUGCAUUGUCAAAAGGCACAACACAAAGUUUAUUUUUCAAGGGCACCAAAGUCAUCAGCAAGUGGCUGCACCUUUCUAUCCCCCU